rnacentral:lncRNA from 1 species
UUAAAAUAAUUAUGAAAUUUAACAAUAUAUAUAUAUAUAUAAUAAAAUAGAUUUUUUUUUUUUUUUUUUUUUUUAUCGGCCAAUCCAUUAAGGUAGAAAGCCCAAUGGGCAGUACAAGGAGAUGAAAUACAGAAACCCAUUUCCAACAUUUACAACCCUAAUUAGAAUAAAAGCAGCUUAAUCUUAAACUCAUUAGUGAAAGAUUAAGAACAGAGGGUGCCACGUGCAACACCACGUGUCAACACGCAAGAAGGAAAAAGAAACAGUCAGUGUCGGCCAAUUCCACGAGUUGACACAGCACCGCCGCCGGCUUCGAGCAUCCACCACCGCGAUCCUUCUACAGAUUCCGCCUUUACCGAUCUGAUUGAAGACCACCGGUCCCGUCUGAGAAAGAAACCUCAAGAAGACUUCAAAAAUCUUCACAUCUUAACCCGAUCUCUUGAAUUGGAAGCUCCGCCUAUGACCUAAAGAGGUCGCCGACUACAACAGAGUCAGAAGCUGCGACGAAGAUAUUACUCCGAUAGAAGAGAAGAGUCAAGCCGACGGUGAAACGGGGAGAUCAAUAGAUCUCAAGGUGAUAUUGAUUUAUUCCCUGUAGAAAGAGGAACAAAAACAAUCCAGACUUAGAAAACUAAGAUGGAUGUUAUUAGAUCCGGAGAGACCGGAGAAAGGUCCGACAAAACGGAAAAACGAAAUCCGACUAAAGUCGGAAAACUGAGUAUAUUACAAACAAAAAGCGCGAACGGCGGAAGAGAAUUCCGGUAAAUCGGAAAUCACCCUCUCUCUCUAAAAGAUAGAAGUGUGAUAAGAGAGAGAGUUUUUAGAAAGAUAAUAAUUUGUUUUUUUAAUAAAAUAGAUUAAAUAAGGGAUAUAUAGAGACAAACAUUUAAAAUGCUUCUAGAUUAAUCUUCUCUGUGAUUUGUCUGGUAAAAAAGAGGACAGAGGGGAAACUGAAUUAUGAUGGAACAUACAUAUGUUGUUCUCCGUCUUUAUUAUGGUAAGUAGUGGUAAAAGGCGUGGCUCAGGAGGCAAAAUUAACAUUUUUUCAAAAGAUUGAUUAAAAAGGAGCUUUUGGUUUGACCAGGUCUAAUCAGUUUCAGACCAACAAACUCAUAAAGUAUUUCGUAUUUACUGCUUAGACAGUCUUUUCCUUUGUCUACACACAAAAACAAGUUUUAUUAACUAGAAUUAAGGAUCCGAAUGGUGAACACAAAAAAGGCGUUUUUCUAAAUUUUUUCACAAAACCGCAGUGUACUCACCAAUCACACUUUUUCUGACAGAUUUGCGUUUUAAAAAAAAAAAAAAAAAGAGGAAUUUGCGGUUUUGUCCAACGGGUAAUACAGUAAACCGCUGUUAGAAAUAAAAAGAAGGCUUUACCCAGCGGUUUUAUCAAAAACAGCACCUAACAAAAUAAUACAUUUUUUUUUUGUUUUUUUUUAACACAAACAUUGCUUUUGUGUUUGAUGAGAAAUGCUUUAGGUAACUUUAUUAACUUGUGAGUCAAAGUCAGAAGGUAUAACAUCAAUAAUACGAAUGAAAAAUAAAACACACACUCUCAUCGUGAUUAUCAAAAAUUUUUUUUUUAAGUUAUAAAAUUAUUAUGAAAGUCAUUCUCCUUCUUUUUGUUUGGUAGGAAAAAAUAUUCUCCUUCUCUAAUACUCCCUCUGUUCCAAAAUAUAGAAUUUUUGGGCUAAAAGCACGCUUAUUAAGAAAAAUUUUAACACAAAAUAACUCAUUAAUUAAACACAUUAAAUAGAAGGGAUAAUCAAGAAUGUUAAGAGACACAUUAAAUUGUGUUUUUUUUUUUCAGCAAAUUAAAUUGAAAGCUUUUAAAUUUAUGAUUAAGAAUUUUUAAUUUAUCCUACCAAAAAGAAACUGAAUGUUUAAUUUAUGUGAAUGUUUAAUUUAUGAUUAUACUAAUAUAUAUAUAAAUGUUUAAUCACCAAAAAAAUAUAUUUAUAUAUAUAUAUAAAUGUUUAAUUUAUGAUGAUACUAAUAUAUAUAUAUAUAUAUAUAUAUAAAUGUUUAAUUUAUAAUUAUAUUAAUAUUAUUAAUAUACUUUUAAAAAUUAUUUAACUAUAAUUUGUAUUCCGCACCGCAUUUUUUUUACCAAUCAAACAUUAUGCUAUACCGCUUAUUUCUAAAAACCGAAUUUGUUCCGCAUACCGCACGUCCCACAGUUGAACCGUACCGCACUAUAAUACCGCACUUCUCCCGUACCGCAAAACGCAGUUACCAUUCGGACCCUAAUACUCAGCUUUUUUCUUCUUUGCAGCUAUAAAUAAUACUACUCAGCUUUAUGAGCAGAUUUUGCAAUAAAUAAAAAUGGGUAAGAAUAUUAAAUGUAGUUACGGUGAAGGAGACAAGGAGAGCAUAAAAAAUACUCCCUUCGUUUUAUAAUAUAAGUAGUUUUAGGUAAAAACACGCUGAUUAAGAAGAUCUACUUUUAAAAAGUUCAACCAAUCAUAAAAGAGACUGCAUAAUAUAAAUAAUCAUAAAAUAUUAAAGUAAUAUAUAAUUUGCAUCGAAACUCGAAAACAAUUUAUAUUGUGAAACAAAAAUCUUUUUCAAAACGCCUUAUAUUAUGAAAUAGAGGGAAUAAGAGUGUUAAUUUGAAAUUGUUUCACUAUCUCUCAUUUGUAAUCGCAUAAUGGCAGAAUUACGUUUUUAAUGCGAUUAUGCAAAAAAAAAAAGCCAAUCAAAAAAAUUUGCAUGAUGGCAUUAGAAAACGCAAAAACCAUGAGAUUUGUUUUUUCGCCUAAAAAUAGAAGUAAGAACUCAUUAUGCAAAUAAAUGGGUAUAUAGUCGCUUAUUUGCAUAAUAAAUUUUUUUAUUAUUUUAUCCAUACAAAAUAUUAGCAAUUAGAAAAGUAAGAAAAUAAUUGUUUACAAUGAAAUUUACACCAUUUUCAAAUAAUAUUUAAAAUUUCACAAUUUUUUAACAAUUUUUAAUAUUUAUUAUCAAAUAUUACUCAAAUUUUAUUAAAAGAUUUUUUGCUUAUUGAAUAUAAGUAUAUAUUAGUGAUAUAAUAUUAUAUUCCGACAUUACACAAAAUGUAUCCAAUCAACAUACUUUUAAGUAAUUUCAUUCUGCAAAUUUUUAUUCUACAACUUAUGUCAUUAUGCGAUUAUGCAAUGUUACCAAUCAGAGCCUUUCAAAAGAAAACAGAGAAGAAAGUGUGCCUUAGGCAUUUUCUCUAACACUCAAUGCUUAGCCUCAUUUUACUACAGUCCACAUUAUUAUUACUUGUGAAAUUAUAGCCAUGUUUUGAUAUUUUAUUAUGCAGAAACACUUGCUCACUAUUGCUCUGAAAUAUAACUAUGUAUAGAGAGUUAUCCAAACAUAUUUUAACUGUAUAUAUUGAAAUCAAUUACCACAGAAAAAUUUGUUUAAUUAAGUAACUUAUUUUUCUUUAUAUUGUUGCCCUUCAAAAAUAUUUGCAAAGAAUUAGGAUAAUUAAAAAAAGGGGGCUAAAUGACUCAUGCUGUCAUGCAUGCUCAUUUGUCAUUAUUUCUAACAAUGCUAUAUUUGUUUCAUAUAAUUAUAAUUAUUGAAAAGACAAACCCAUUAUGAGAUAUGAUGAUAGGGUCAUAAAUAAUAAAUAUGUCUAUAUUUAUAUGAAAAGGUGCAACAAGUGACUACGAAAUUCAACUAUUUUGUUAUAAUAUGAUGAUUGUAGAGCAUUAUAAGUUCACCAUCAUGAUUAUAUAUCAAAUAUGUAUAAAUAAUAAAAUUUUGAGAUUCUUAGUUUCUCACACAAUAUUAGCAUCACAAAAGCACCUCAAUGAGGUUAUCACCUCUUAUUUAAUAAAAUAAAAAAUAAGCAGCACAAAAAAUAUACAUAUUUUUUACUCAGACUCAUGAGGAGAAUCUAAAGAAAGAAACAACGUUCACUUGGAAAAAGACAGUAGACUUGAAAUAAAUUGUUGUUGUAUACAUCUUUUUGUUUUGAGUCAAUGCAUUUGAAUGAGAACAUGAAUAUUAACAUAGGCAUUAACAAACAAAAGAUGUCUGUUUUUGAGACCACAUAAUCUAAUAAGAAAUAUAUUUGGUUUUAUCUUGUGUUUAAUUUGUCUACUUGUUUGUAUUGGUUUGCCUUAAGCAGUUACUUAUAUGCUUUCGUCAAUGAAAUGACAAAAAACUAAAUCAUCUCUCUCAUAGAAUAGAUAUUAGUUACCUACCUUCACAUAUUCACAACAUAUAUGCAUCAUUUAGGAAAUUAAUGUAAUUCAAAAUAAUUUCAAAGUUAAUUUUCCUAUAAUCAGUAAUGUAUUGAGUUAAACUAAUUUGCACCAUAGAUAAAUCAAAAGAAAUAAAAUUGAUGAGAUCAAUGUGAUAUACUAGGUUUUAGUGUAUAAAUUGAGAAUAAUAAGAAAGAGCACAAAUUUCAGAGAGAGGAAUGGGGCAUGUGAUAAAAGCGAGCUUACCUCUUAUUAUAAAAGCGACCACGCUUGUUUUCUUGCAAUGAUUCGGUCUACUUUCUUAUUAUUCUCUUUUUUUUUUCCUUAUGAAAAUAUAUUUCCUUAUUUUUUUUUAUAAUUUUUUUUAAAAACUUAAUUUUAUUAAAACACAACCCAAAAUGGACACAGUUUCAGACUACAAAAUUUCAACAGUGAAAGGAACAAUUCUGAAAACCCACAAUGUCUCCUAAAGAGUGGAUCGGAUCCUGCUGAACAGUUAUGACCUGAAGCAGAAGCUCAAACCGUAUAACCAGUGGUUACAAGACCCACGACUUUGCGGAGAAUAACCAAAACCAAGUUAGAGGCAAAAGUAACCAAUUUCCACCUCCAAUUCAUUUCUGGCGACCCGCCUAACCCGCUACAAGUCUUCUGGUAAAUUCAAACUCCCGACAACACGGCUCUGCUUGGUAAAACGGAGUCAGAUCCCAACCUAGCAAUCUAACAACCUAAGACCUAACGCCACUCCACUUGAAACGGUGAAUUCCAAAAAGCUCCAAGAAAGGCUCCCUUCAAUCCGGUCUGGUGGAAGCUAUAAACGUGACGAUUUACGGAGGAUAGAGGCUCAAUCUAACCCCCAACAAACCGGAAACCAUGCACGCCCUCUAAGAUCCAAAAGGAUCUACAGUUAACCAACCAAACUAACAAUGCAACCCACCAUUCUCCCUUCGACUUCCGCCGCAAUCGCAACUCCGAUAUGGUGGAUGAGCCAGGAGAAACCUCUUCCGCGAAUUACUGACGUCCUCUACCAAACACGACAUGAUCAAGAGGCUUCUCUUCCAGCAAAGUCGGAAUCACAAUCACAUCGAGAGGGAGAAAAUACCACACCUCCAUUGAUGGGGAAGAGAAAAACUUACUCCUGCCUUCCUUUUGCAACCCAAGACAUGCAUGAAGCUCAAACCUGAAACCAGAAACACACACCCGACAAUACAACCGCUUCGAAAAGAGAUAUCGACCCGAAUGGAGGGGCUAAACUAACUACAAGCGAAAACACCAGCAAUUGACCGCCUAGACUAACUAAGCAGAGCCUAGACCCCCACUAUGUACACAACACAAACCCUACAGAUAAGGAGCCGGCAUCCGGAAGCGCAACCCAAUCCGCCAGAAAGAACCACCUGGAACGGAGCCGUCCUUUAGCUUCCGACCAAAUGUUACUCCAGCAGCCACCAAACAGCUAACCGAACACCACUACGGACCAAUCUGACUCCACCCGCAAACAAACCAAUCGGGAAAGACUCAUAAUACCUCCAAUCGAAGAGAACAGCUGCAAAAACAAACAACGGAUCCAUCCCGAGAAGAGUCGACCGCAACGCCUGGAGGAGAGAAAAACGAUCGCCGGAAACCACCACCGGAGAACAACCGACGGAAUAUAUUUCAAUUAUCUAUGCUUCUUCUUUUUUUUUCCCUCGUACAUAAGAUAUCAUGAAAAUAUAUUAUGAUAUUAAUCAUUGGUGAAAUAUGUGAAAUAUCAAGAGUGAAGAUUUUAUUUAGACAAACAAUACAAUACUAAAAGCCUACCAAAAAAAAAACAAUACAAUACUAAGUUAUUACUGAAGUAAAUAAAUCAAAAAUAUUUGACGUAUGAGAUUAAAGGCACAAUUUUUACUGACGUUUUGUUUUAAAAGAUUUAUACAUUGUUUUGCUGCAAAACUUUUAUAUAGAGUCUUAGUUUGGGAAAACAAAUUACUUCUAUCAUUUUUUUUUCCAGAACGAAUUUGUUAAUACAUCAUUAGAAAAAGCUACUAUUUCAGCAAUAGAGAUAAUUGAACCUGAUUUGAUUUCCCUUAAUUUUAGGUGUACAGACUUUUAUGUUCCUUCAUUCUCCGAGGGAAGAGGCAUACAUCAUUCAUCUACUUUGGUCACUACUUACGAAAAAAAGAUUAAAUGUAAAGUUUCAUGAUACAUAAUACACUAUAUAUGUAGGUAGUAAAAGUAAAAAAAUUUGGUUUUGCAUUGAAUUUGACAGCCCAUUAUUUACUGACAGCUGUAAGUCUGUAGUGCAAACGCAGUAUCUCUAUUAAAAUCAUCAAAUGUAGAAAAAGCAAAAUCUAGAGCAAUAAAUACAAGAGGUACUUUGUAUAAGCAACAUCGAUAUUUACAAAAUGUUUUGUUCGAAUCAUGGGAGAAUAUUAAUGUACUAUAUAGCAGAUUUUUCAUUCAAACUUUUGUCUUCUUUUCAAAUAAUUUGUGUUUUUAUUUUUAUACAGAAUUUCCUUUCGUAUAAUUAAUUGAUACCAGAAGAGUUAUUAUGAUCAGGCUGGAGAGCAUUUACAGACAUAGUAUUUCAUUUCAAUAUAUCGUAAACUUAUAGCCAAAUUAAUGAAAAUGCUUUGUUUAAACUUUUAACGAAUAGCUUAAAGAAUAAUAGUAAACGAAUAAUUUGCUCGAGAAACGAAAGCCCACUCGUGCGAGCAAAACGUGACUCGCCGCUAAACCAUGUGAUUCCGCUUAAUUUUAGUAUUAAUUUGCUGAUAAAACCAACAAAACAGUCCUUAUUAGACAUUGAUAUAAAACAAGAAAUCAGUACUUAAAUAAAGACUUGUAGUACAAAUUUUAGCCGGCGAAAAACAGAGUUAAAAAAUAUAAAAUAAUAUAAUCACCCCUUUUUAUCAUCUAAUGGAAUUAAAUCACACUUUCGUCCUACAUUUAAUAAAAUUCAAUAAAGCCAUCAUUUUUUAAUUUAAUUUUGACAAAAAUCCAACACAAAUCUAUAAUUUUAAUAAAUACCCUUUUCAAAAUAUCCCAAGUUUUUCAUGAGUAAAAAUAAUUCAAUAAGAGUAAUAUUGAUGGUAACAGUAAAACUUGUUUUGUUAGGUUUGGUAAUAAAUUACUAUUAGUAUGUAUGAAUUGAUUCGAUGUUGUUGUUGUUGUCACUCCCGAAACAUAAACUCUCACAAGUAGCUAUCAAAAAACAAAGAGAGUUAAGCUUCUUGAAAAACUACUUCCGUGUCUCCCUCUCUGUCUACACAACACUCUUCUCUAUUUUUCUUUCUUUCUCUCUCUCUAUAUAUAUAUAUAUAUUCACAUCUCUUCUCUAUUUUUCUUUCUUUCUUUCUCUAUAUAUAUAUAUAUAUAUAUAUUCACAUCUCUUCUCCAUUCACUCUUCAUCACAAAGAGAGAGAUGGAGAACGGUGAGAAAGCAGCUGAGACUGUUGUGGUUGGGAACUAUGUUGAGAUGGAUAAGGAAGGUAAAGCUUCAGACAUCAAAUCUAAGCUCUCUGACAUGUUUUGGCAUGGUGGCUCUGCUUAUGAUGCUUGGUUCAGCUGUGCUUCCAAUCAAGUUAGCUUUUUCUCUCUGAUGAACAAGUUUUGUUCUUUUGAGUCUCUCUGAUUAUAUAUGAUGUGUUGUUAUAUAGGUGGCACAAGUGCUGUUGACACUGCCAUACUCGUUCUCACAGCUGGGGAUGCUCUCAGGGAUUCUGUUUCAGCUCUUCUAUGGCAUCUUAGGUAGUUGGACUGCUUACCUCAUCAGCAUUCUUUAUGUUGAAUACAGAACUAGAAAGGAGAGAGAGAAAGUUAACUUCAGAAACCAUGUCAUUCAGGUUUGUUUACUGAUCUUCUCUAUUAUAUUCAUCUUCUCUUUUUGAAACAAAAAUAUUUUACAUGUUGGUUAAUGUGAAGUGGUUUGAGGUUCUUGAUGGAUUGCUUGGGAAGCAUUGGAGGAAUGUUGGUUUAGCUUUUAACUGCACCUUCCUUCUCUUUGGAUCUGUCAUUCAACUCAUAGCUUGUGCCAGGUAACAAUUCUUUCUUGAGUAAGAUUAGCAUACUUCUAUAUGAAACUGAGAGUACUAAUGAUGGGGUUUAAUGGUGUAUUGUUUUGCAGCAACAUAUAUUACAUAAAUGAUAAUCUGGACAAGAGGACAUGGACAUACAUAUUUGGAGCAUGUUGUGCAACCACAGUCUUCAUUCCUUCCUUCCACAACUACAGGAUCUGGUCUUUUCUUGGACUCUUGAUGACCACUUACACUGCUUGGUACCUCACCAUUGCCUCCAUCCUCCAUGGACAGGUAAUUCUUUCUUAUUUUCUAAUUAGUUUCAAUGGUUAAAGAUUAGAAUAGCUGGUGAUGUUGUGGCUUAAGGGGACUCGAAAACAUCAACAAAGUUGUCUUCUUGCUUAUGUCUUUUGGCACUUGUGUUUCAAGCAACAUGUGGUUUGGGACCACUUUACCCAAACCUAUAACAUUGGUGUGUCAGACAUAAAUGAUACUUGUAGAGUUGUAGAUAAUUGAAUUUUCUUAUAGAAAAAGAAUAAUAAUAAUGUAGUGUUGGAAUAAUAAAAAUAGGUACAAGGAGUGAAGCAUUCAGGACCAAGCAAGCUGGUUUUAUACUUCACAGGGGCCACAAACAUUCUUUACACAUUCGGUGGACAUGCUGUUACUGUGUAUGUUCCUAUUCUCUUACCAUUUUAACCCCAUCACGAUUCACAUAUCCUAAGGGUAUAACUGGAAUUACAGAUUGAUGAAAAUGACCACUCACUUUCAUUGUUUUGUGUUGUUGUUGGCAGAGAGAUAAUGCAUGCUAUGUGGAAACCGCAGAAGUUCAAGUCCAUAUACCUCUUUGCAACACUGUACGUGCUGACGCUAACGCUGCCUUCUGCGUCUGCGGUUUAUUGGGCGUUUGGUGAUUUGCUUCUAAACCAUUCAAACGCAUUUGCUCUCCUCCCAAAGAAUCUUUACCGUGACUUUGCAGUUGUGCUCAUGCUCAUCCAUCAGUUCAUUACCUUUGGUUUUGCUUGCACGCCACUCUACUUUGUGUGGGAGAAGCUUAUAGGGAUGCAUGAGUGCCGAAGCAUGUGUAAACGAGCCGCCGCGAGGCUUCCUGUUGUUAUACCCAUUUGGUUUCUUGCUAUCAUAUUCCCUUUCUUCGGUCCCAUUAACUCAACUGUUGGAUCUCUACUCGUCAGCUUCACUGUCUACAUCAUCCCUGCACUAGCUCAUAUCUUCACCUUCCGCUCCUCCGCCGCACGUGAAAAUGCCGUGGAGCAGCCCCCGAGGUUUCUAGGACGGUGGACUGGGGCUUUCACCAUCAACGCCUUCAUAGUUGUGUGGGUGUUCAUUGUUGGAUUCGGGUUCGGUGGUUGGGCUAGUAUGAUCAAUUUUGUUCACCAAAUUGAUACCUUUGGCCUCUUCACCAAAUGCUACCAGUGCCCUCCACCAGUUAUGGCCUCACCUCCUCCCAUCAGCCAUCCUCACUUCAAUCACACUCAUGGCCUUUGAAUUAUAAGCAUCGAAUCUAGAGCCGGCCCAAGAGUGUUCCCAGCUGCCACGAAAGUUGGCGUUUUUUCCACGGAUCAGAAGAUUUAGAGAUUUGGGUUCGUUUUAAAUCAACCAAGGCCGUAGUGCUUUGGGUGUUCUCGUUUAGCAUCAUCUAAAGUUGGUCUGUUUUUAUUGUAUUUCAUGUUUGAAAAUUAAAGGAAAAAAAACAAAAACUUUUAGGAGUAAUGCAAAUCUUUCAUCAAGAAAACAAAUUGAUUGUAGUCUUCUCGUAGACAAGAAAAUGUGUACCCAAUAUAAAUUCUAUGAAGGCUUGAAAUAGAGCAAGGAGACACAUGAAGCAAAAGGUAUGAUAAACAUGCAAUAAAACCAAUCCAAAUUCUUACUCAAAUCACAAGGCACCAUAACCAUAACCCUAAUUAAAUAAAUCCGAAAACAUGAGAGAGUCGAAUAACAAAAGAUAGAUAAUAUUUGAUAGAAGUCAGUGAGAAGAGGGAUCGAUUUCAUGUAUGAGAUGACUGAUUUACCCCUUCUUCACCGUCUAGUUUGCUUCAACGAGCACCACCGCUAGUGCAAUCUCUUGCAAAAUGCCCAGACUCUCCACAGCUGUAGCAGCUUCCACCACCUCCGCCGCCAGACCCGUACCUUCCACCACCACCACCACCUCCACUGUAUCCACCACCACCACCACCUUGAGAGCAUUCUCUAGCCAUGUGACCUGGUUCACCGCACUUAAAGCAAGAAUUAUCACCACCACCUCCUCCACGGCCACCGCUUCCUCUACCACCGUAACCACCGCCUCCUCCGUAACCUCCUCCACCACGUCCGCCUCCUCUUCCACCACCGCCAAAACCACCGCGUCCACCAGAUGAACCACCACCGCUAUUUCCCUGAACGGGAGCACCAUCGGGUCCAGACACUUCAACAGCCUUGGGACGGCCGGUGUUGUCGACCUCAACCUCGAACUCAACAGAUUCCUCAGCGGCGAGGCUACGAAAUCCUUCAGAUCUGAUGGAAGACUGGUGAACGAAGAGAUCGUCACCACCGUCGUUAGGUGUGAUGAAACCAAACCCCUUCUGUGUAUCAAACCACUUCACCGAUCCCUUGCGUCUCUCUCCACCACUCAUGUUUUCGUCGCCGCCGCUCAUUCUGAUUCAAAAACUCUCCGACGAACUAACCGAUCAGAUCUUUUCUCUCUCUCUCCUUUGGCGUGAAGCAGACGCUGUUUAUAUCUGCGAGAGAUGUGUGCAAAGGCAGAGGGUAUCACCGCCACGUCAUUAUUUACUUAUUAUUCCCCAAAUUCUUUACUUUUUUUCUAAAAAUUCUUUUCAUAUUCCCAUUUUUAACGAACGUAUUUUGAUAUUUUCCAUUUUUAAAAUUGAAUAUUCUAUUUUUCUGCAUAAUUUUCUUGACUUUUUCCAAAACGCAAUAAUUUUUUUAGAAAUUUUACUUAAAGAAAUACGAAUUUGUUUGAAUAGUAAAAUUGACAAUAUAUUAUAAAAAAGGAAGAUAUGGGCCAGGCUAAUGUUAGAGAUUGUAUUAUUUUUUCCUUUCGGGAAACUAAAGGAUGCGAUGGGCCAGCUAUGAUCUGGACGGUUGGGGAUGCUUUGCAGGAGGUUUCUCAGCCGUUAGAUUCAAAUCUAAGAGUUGAAUUUAUGUAUUUUUUUAAAUAAAUCAUUCAAAGCUUAUCUUCUUCUCCCGAAAAGAUCUAACAGAGUGUGAAGGGUACAAUGGGAAAAAAGACAAAUUCCAUUUUAAUAAUUUAAUAUUAUUCUGGUUCAGUCAACAUUAAAGUUGACGGACGAAAGCAGAUGUUUUGACUAGUCGUCCCACAUUUUUGGGAACGCAAACUGCGUGCCGUUUUUUUUUUUUUUUUAAUUUACGCUCUCGUACCAAUAAAAUAGUGUAUUUUCACAUAGUAACCCCAAAACUUUUUUUAAAUUAGUAUUAUGUUAGUCAAAAUCUCAAAAGAGUGGUCAAAAGAGUAACGUACGAUGGGACUUGUCAAUGCGCAUUUACACUUUCCAAACAAAUAAAUAAUUUAAAUGGUAACCGUGGAAUCCGGCUGAAUUGCUGAAUCUAACUGAAUUUAAUGAUAAUUUUUUUGUAGAAUCUGGCUGAAUAUCUUCGAGUUCAAAUGGUAACGGCUGAAUCUAGCUGAAUUUUUCAAAAUUAAUUAAUUAGUUAACAAAACAUAUGAAAAUAUAGAUUCCAAUUUUUUAUUUUGUCAACAAGAGCAAAUAAAAAACAAAUGAAAAUAUUAAACUUGAAAUUUUAUAUAAUUUAAUAAUUUUAUUAAACAUGAGAUAAUAAGUUAAUUUGAAAAAUGUUCAAAUUUGUAAAAUAUUAGGAAUGUGAUACAUUUAAUCUUUUUAUCAAAUGUAAAUAUCAUAUAAAAGCAUAAAAUAAUAAAAUAAACUAGUAAUUGUUACUUUUUCAAUAAAAAUUAAACUAUUUUAUUUUUCUAGUUUAUAAUUUUUCUUACUAAUAACUUUUGGGAAAUUGUUAAAAAUGCCCCUUUUUGUGUGCUCUUUUUCAAAAAUGCCCCUUUUAGAUGUCCAUUUUCAAAAAUGCCCCUUUUUAAAUCUGAAAUUUUUAUAAAGUUUUAUUAGGUUUAUAAAGUACUUAUGGAUUGUAACUACUACUUGAAGACUCGAUCCAAGUAUUUAUAAGGUUUUAUAAGGUGUUUUUAAAGGUUUUACAAGUUAUUUUAAAGGAUUUUUAAGGUUUUUUAAAGGUUUUACAAGAUAUUUUAAAGGUUUUUAAAGGUAUUUAAAAUGCAUUUAUAAGGUAUUUAUAAAGUAUUUAUAAGAUUUUAGAUACAUAGAUUUGUAGUUUGUGUAUGUUUUAAUAAUAUUACAUACAUAUUUGGGUAAAUCUUAUAUUUUUAAGAGCAUUUUUUAUAAAGUUUUAAAGAAGGAGCAUUUUUGAAAAGGAGCAUUUUUGCAAAAGCCCCAUAACUUUUAGUAGAAGUCUUCUAUUAUUAAAUUAAAUAUUAUAAUUUUAAUUAUCAUUUAGUUUUAAUAAUAGUUAAAUUGAUUAAUUUAUUUAACAACUUAAAAACAAAUAUAAAAUUUUGAAAUAUCAACAAUUCCUCACAAAUUCCUCAUGUAUUCCUCAACAUGCAAAUGAUGUAACCAAUUUUAAUUCCUCAAAAAUUCCUCAAAACCCAUGUUACAUCAUUUACAUGCAAAUGAUGUAACCAAUUUUAAUUCCUCACAAAUUCCUCAUGUAUUCCUCAACAUGCAAAUGAUGUAUCCAAUUUUGAAAUCUUUAGUUUAACGCAUAAUAAUUCAAUGAAAAGAUGAGUUUAGUUAAUGUCUUGUUCAUAUAUUGUCUUACUAGUAGUUGUGGCCACUAAGUUUAUUAGUAUCAAUUAUGAUUCUAUCUACCUAUAUAUUAAGUAAGUGAUUGAGCUUUUAAAUGUGUCUCUUUUAAAUUUAGGAAAGUGUGAAAUGCGUUUGUGUUUUGCAAAUCAUUUCAAUCGCCAAGGGUUUUAAAAGAUGUUAAGACUAGUUACGGGAUCUUUGAGUUUCUAUUUAAAUACUGCUGGAUUGUUUCGACGAAAGCUUUUUUUUCGAGGGAGAAGCAAAUGUUUUCUUACAAAGAACACCCUCUGUUUUACCAAAUAUAACACUUGAAGAGAUGGUGGUGUUCGAAUAUAUAUUGGGACUUUGAAAAUUGUCCACUACCGCAUAGUUAUAUUGAAUAUUCUUUUGAUAAAUUGACUAUUUUGUUAUGUCUAUCAUUAGUUUUGGAGAUGUCAUUUGUUUCAGAGAUGCCUAUAUAAAAACCCUUUUGAUGAAUUUGAGACCAAUGUUGAAUAAAACUCAUAACUCACCUAAAAGAGUCCCAUCCCAACUUUGGAGUUUAAUAAAACUCUAAAUAUCUUCAGGGACUAAUGGAAACAUAAAAAAACCGUUGGAGAUAUUUUAGAGUUUUAUUCUUAAAUUUUGUUUAAUGUUUUAUUUAUUUCUAAACAUGUACCUGGUAUAUGAUUUAUUUAUUUUUGUAAUAAAUAUCGUUUAAGAUUUUUUCAUACAUUGUCUGAAAACAUUUUUUUUUUUGCAUUUUCUGUUAGUACAUUGUAUUAUUUUUCUAUUGGUUAAUUAAUUAAAAUCGCAAGAUUAAAACUGAAUUUUUUUAUUAAAAUAUGAAACGAUAUUUAAUUUUAAAAUAUAAAACAAUACCUAAAUAUGUUAAUAAACAAAAGAACUUAUUUGAGCCACAAGUAAUUAAUAAAUCCGGCGUCGUUUUGUUGGGAACGCAUAUAAUUUCCGGCGAACUUCUCAAAGCCGCUAACUCAGCCAGAGGCUUUAAACGCAUUGACUCCAAUUCACCGCCGUUGUCUUCUCUCUCACCAACUUCACCGGCGGCUUAGGGUUUCGAUGCGUAACGGGAAGAAGAGAGGUCGCUCAGAACCUGGAUCCACAAAGAAACCCCGAAACAAAUACUCCGAUAACCCACCCGAUUUUGCCUCGUUAGCGUCUCUUUACCCUUCUUUCAAGCCCUUUGUUUUCUUCUCCGGUGGCCGAGCUCGCAUCGACUGGACCGAUUACAACGCAACCCGAGAGCUCACUCGUAUCCUCCUUCUACACGACCACGGCGUCAACUGGUACGUUUCAAUUGUAGAAAGGAACUAGCUUUGUUGUGCUCUCAAGAACAGUUAUGUACCAACAAAGUCUUUUCAUGUAUAGGUGGAUUCCUGAUGGACAGCUUUGCCCAACUGUUCCUAAUAGAUCGAAUUACAUUCAUUGGAUUAAUGAUCUUUUGUCCUCUGAGGUCAUUCAAAGUUUGGGUGGUGAAGUAAAGGGCUUUGACAUUGGUACUGGGGCCAAUUGCAUUUAUCCUCUCCUUGGUGCAUCUCUUUUUGGUUGGAGUUUUGUUGGCUCAGGUUUCUUCUUCUUCUUCUUUUAUCAUUCUUCAUUUGCAUUACGCAUUUAUGUUCUCAAUUUGGUGCCAAUGUUGUUUUGUACGCAGAUUUUACUGCUGUUGCUCUAGAAUGGGCAGAGAAGAAUGUCAAAAGUAAUCCCCAUAUUUCAGACCUUAUCGAGAUCAGAGACUCUAAAGUUCUUCCACAGAGUUCCUCUGUUCCCGAGAGUGAGUUAACCAUACACGAGGAAGCCGAAAUUUCCGCCACGGUUCAGUCUAUUAAUCUUGUAGAUGACAACCAGACCUAUACUGAACCAGCUGUAUUACUCGGUGUUGUCAAGGAAAAUGAAACGUUCGACUUCUGUAUGUCCAAUCCUCCAUUUUUUGAGACCUUCGAAGAAUCAGGACUUAAUCCUAAAACUUCAUGUGGUGGAACUCCUGAGGAGAUGGUUUGCAAUGGUGGGGAGCAAGCUUUCGUGUCUUGUAUUAUCGAAGAUAGCACUGUACUGAGGCAAAGAUUCAGGUAACUGUACCCAGAUAAACCUUUGGAUCUUUCACAUUCUGGUUUUUCAUUCAUCAGGACUUAUCGUUUUGUGAUCAUGUUUUAUAUUAGGUGGUACACUUCAAUGCUUGGGAAGAAGGCUAACCUCAAACUCUUGAUAUCUAAGCUUUGGCAAGUGGGUGUAACCAUUGUGAAGACCACUGAAUUUGUCCAAGGUCAAACAUCCCGGUGGGGCCUCGCCUGGUCCUUCAUGCCCACAGCUAGGAAGAUUAUAGCACCUCCUGUAGUCAAAAAGAGUGUUCUUUCUUUUAUGCUUGAGGUAAUCUAUCUAUAACUUUCAUCAUCCUUUACAUGCUUAAGUAACAUCUAUUUGCUAUCUAAUUAUAUAAAAAGUCUCGGGCUUUAGUCAAGCUUUACAUUCUUCAUGGUGGAUUUGUGUGUUUAUAGGGCAUUAAACGGCAGUACAGUGCCGUAGAUGUGCUUCAAUCAGUUGAAGAAUUCUUCAAGAGCUGUGGCGCCUCGUGCAAAUUAAACUCUUCUACAUUUUCUGUUGACGUAAGUGCACUACCUGUAUUUUUUUGUCUUGCCAUCCAAGCUUGUUUCUACAGAAUCUCAAGCUCAACAGAGUUUCCUUCUAUUGUUGUACAGAUUGUUGCAUCUGAUGACCAGUGCAACUCAAUCUCAAAGAAUGGGAUUACAGAUGUAGAUAGUGUAAGAAGCUACGGAUAUGACAAACAGUCACUGGAUGGAUCCAGUUUGCAAGUCCCUGAAGAUAACCUAUCUUUCCGCAUCUUGGUAAGUUUGGAUCUAAUUUGAUAAAUCCCGAACGAUUGCCUUCACCUUUUCAAAUUGGUGUAUGAUGGAGAAACUUCUAUUACAGGUGUUCCAACAGAUGCCAGGAACGUUGCUUAUAAAAGGAUCAUUGCAGCAGAAAGAUAGUCCCCUCUCAGGUUAGUCAUUUUGCUCGGUUUCCCUAAGUUGCUGGAAAAAUCUUCACUGUUUCUAUUCGUCUGAUCUUCACCAAAAUCGUGAAGUACCAAAACUUUCGCUGUUAGUUACCAACGUGAAGACAGCUGAAUUGUCCGUUUAAUUUUGCUUCUGCAGGGUUGUUCUCAGUGGUCUUCGGUUGUUUGGAAGAAAGUUUGAAGUCUAAAUUUUGCCGGUAACCAGUCCCAGGGUACUGUUCUGACUUCUAGAAUGACAUCUGCCAAAAACUAAAUGAAAAUGAAUAUGAAUCUUCAAAUUUCAGACACAUAACAUGUUCUUACACAUAAAACACAAGCCGUGUUUUGAUUCCUAAAUAAACUGAGACAAUUCCUCCCAACAGAGGCAAACAAAAUUUUAUCAGCUAAUUUUGUUGUGGAUGAAAAGUGUUGCAUAGCAGACCACUCGUGUUUCUCAACUGCAAAUAUUAACUAGAAUCAAGACUUUGAAAAGACUUACCUUGCGGGUAAAGAUACACAGCCAAGUUGGAUUACCCAAAAGUAGUAAAGGAGAAAGAGAGAGAGGGUUCUUCACUUCACGUGACAAAGCAAGCUACUAUUGCUUUUCUCUCCAGUUUCUCUUUUUUGAUCAACCAUCGCUUGUGAUGAAAAAUGUAAGACCCUUACCAAAUACCUAUAAAUAUCUUGCAUUGCAUGUGGGUGUAGUUAUUUUGAAUUGUCAUUUUCUCUUUUCGCAGUGACCUUCUAUAUAUAACUUUGGUGAUCCCUCAACCCUUUGAUUCCUCUGGAAAGAUAUGAAUCCUGGUGAAAAUGAAUACUUUCACCAUCACCUCCCAAUCCUCUCUAACACACCCUUACAACCUUCAAAAUCCUUGCCUUCUGAUGAUUUGCGCAACUUUCGUCUUCUCCUCAAGUGGUGCGCUCUGGAUCACUCCUCCUCUUCUGGUAAAGCUGUGUCCUAUAUGAUGUUUGUAGUAUUCACCUUACUAGUCCCUCUCAUAAGUUGUCUGUCCAUCAAAACUCCUAGAACCUGGCCUUCAUCAGUUAUGGACGUUAACUCUUUCAAUGUGCUCGUCCAAUUUCCAGAGUCUGGACUUGCCGUCAUUGGUUUCUUGACUCUAAUAUGUUUCUUCAGAAUAUAUAGUCUCACACAGCUUCUGUUUCUUGAUGAUUCUACCUUGGUGAGGCUUGGAUAUUCGCGCGAACUUGACAAGGCCUUAUGCUACCUAGCCUACAUACUUGUACCGUCUUUCCUUGUGGAACUUGUGCAUAAGAGCAUAUUUUUCUCCUCCGCUGAAGUAUCAUUUCCUUUCAUAAAGUCAUCUUGUGCUGCAUUGAACUUUGUGAUGUUCUUCCUCGUCUUAUUUUCAUGGGUUUACCGGACAGGAGUGUUCUUGCUAGUUUGUAUCCUGUUCCGGUUGACCUGUGAGCUACAGAUACUGAGGUUCCGAGGGCUUCACAAGCUGUUCGAUAGAUGUGGAUCAGACACCAUAGAAGAUGUAUGCAAGGAACAUGUGAGGAUCAAGAAACAAUUGUCGGCUACAAGCCACAGGUACAGGUUUUUCAUCAUCGCGGCCUUUGUUGUGAUUAGUACCAGUCAGUUUGUGGCCUUAUUGUUGGUUCUUGCAUCAAAGUCUGACAGGAGUUUCCUCAGCUCUGGUGAUUUGGUGGUAAUUUUCUAAAGCUUUGUUGUAAUAAUUUUCGAAGUUUCAGCGCUCUGCAUUUAAUGAAGCAUACAUAUUCUUCUAUCUCAAGGUAUGUUCUGCAGUACAGUUAAGCGGAUUCUUCUUGUGCGUGUUGGGUGCUGCAAGAAUCACACACAGAGCUCAAGGAGUAGUCUGUAUUGCAACAAGGUGGCACAUGGCUUUGACAUGCGCUUCUGAAGCUGUAUCACCCGAGAGUGAUACUGACUCAUCCGACAACAUAUACAUUAAUGUGUCACCGUCACUGGAUCUAUCUUCCUUCUUCCAGGCUAGGCAAGCUCUAGGUGCGUUAUAUUGAGAUUUCAUGCUCUUCUUAUUUCAAAAUAAGUUGCAAACAAUUGAUGGGAGUUACAUUGCAGUGGAAUACCUGCGACAUAACAACAAGGGGAUUACGCUCUAUGGAUAUGCACUCGAUAGGGGAUUGCUUCAUACGCUCUUUGCAUUUGAGUUCUCUCUGGUGAUGUGGAUCCUGAGCAAGGUCGUGGUUCUAUCUUAGAACUCACUUAGGUAAUAUGAGACAACAAAAGACGCUGCGAAAGCUUCUGUUAAAUCUUCUCUUGAAGCCUGACUUUCCUAAAGAUGUAUGCAAGAGAGACUUCAACUGGAUCGUGAAUCUACACAGGAAGUAAAAGCGCUGAUUGAUGCACAACACUUGGUCACCGGUGUUUGACCAAAAUAAAAAUAAAAUUUGAUCACUGGUUUAACAGACAGAACUGGGUUAUUGUUGGGUUUGAAUGUUUGAUGAACAUCAUAAAUAUUGGUUGCUCCAACUGUAUUGCUUUUUCUUUAUUUUUGUACUUGUCCCUUUCUUUGCCACUACCAUCGUUUUCUAACAACUAAUAACUUUGCCAAUACGAAACAAACCAGAAAAAUUUUGAUUUUAAUUUUGCUUCUUAUUAACCAAAAAAUCUGGAAGAAAAAAACAAAGAAUUUGAAGACUCUAGUGUUUAGCUCUGUUACACUGACAAAACUUCUAAAGCUAAAUCAAAUUCAUCACAACACGUAUAGAUCCCUGCUUUUGCAGGCUUAAACAGUGUACAAUCCUGGGAAGAAAAUUUGCAGGUGUUCCAUGAUGCUUUUCUUGUAUGAGAGAUCAUGUUCUUGAAGCUUCUUCUUCCAUAAGUGCGGCCAGAUUAUGCAGAAUGAAGUAGAUCUCUUCUUUCCGAGCAUGAGCAUGAGCAUGCGACCCGUCUGAGACAGUGAAAGCUUUGACUUUGUUCUCGAUUUCAAUCCAACUAACAGCUUUUUCUUUGUUCACUCUUCUCUUCUUCAUAAUCCCUCUCAGCUUCUCUACUAAUUCCCACUUCCCAUGAUCUGCGUAAAUGCUUGACAGCAAUAUGUAUGGUGCAGACGACUCAGGGUCCAGUUUGAUCAGCUCUUCCGCUGCUUUCUUUCCCAGUUCUUCGUUUCCAUGGAUUCUGCAUACUCCUAGGAUUGCGUUCCAGAUAUGCUUGUCGGGUUCGAAAGGCAUUUCCUCGAUCUUGCUCAUCAGUUCUUUGAAACAACCGGCGCGGCCUAGGAGAUCUAUCAGACAUGCGUAAUGCUCUUGGUCGGGAACAAUCCCGUGCUGAACAGUCAUUGACUCAAACCACCUCACUCCUUCCUCUACUAGACCUGAAUGACUGCAGGCAUUAAGAAUCACAACCAGAGUCGUUCGGUUUGGAUGGACUCUGAAUUUGAUCAUGUCAUCAAGCAUCUGCAAGGCCUUGUGGCCAAGCCCGUGCUGUGCCAAUGCAGAAAUCAUCGUGUUCCACAAAACGCAGUCUUGCUUGUCAUAGCAAAUUCUGAACACCCGCUCGCUAGCUUCUAAACUACCUGAUUUGGAGUACAUAUCUAUCAAAGAACUGGUGACAAUCGCAUUCGGUCUAACAUUGGUACGGAUCAUGUAGCCAUGAAUUUGCUUCCCGUGUCUAAGAGAAGCAAUGCUCGCAGAGGCACAUAGACAGCUACUGAAAGUAAACUGCUCUGGUUUAACCCUCAUAGCAAUCAUUUUUCUAAACAAGUCAAGCGCUAGAUCCCCUGAGCCUUGUCGAACAUAUCCAGCAAUUAAUGCGGUCCAAGAGACUGGAUUUUUCUCCGGCAUCUCACGAAAUAACUUGUCAGCCGCUUCCAUAUCUCCAAGUUUGGCAUACCCAGAGAUCAGAGUAGUCCAAAUAUGAAUAUCCUUCACUGUCAUCUCAUCAAAACAUCUUUUAGCACUCUCCAUCUGACCACAUUUCGCAUAAGCAUCGAUGAUAGAACACGAAAGCACCACAUUUGACAAAAACCCAGCAACCAAAACCUGCCCGUGAGCUUGUUGAUUGAGCUGGAGCUGCCUAGAUUUCACACAUGCCGUCAAAAGCCCGGCGAAGCUGAACUCGUUAAACUUGAUUCCAGAUCUCCUCAACUCUUUAAAAAACCACAACGCCUCGUGUAGAUUCCCAUCCUGAGCAUACCCAAUAACCAUGGUGUUCCAAGACACAACAUCUCUCUCAGGCAUACUAUCGAACACAACUCGUGCACGCACCAACAUCCCGGAUUUGACAAAACCAGAGACCAUAUUGUUCCAAGAAUACAAGUUCCUGAGAUGCAUUUGAUCAAACACUUUACACGCAUCAAUAGGUUUACCACAUUUCAUGUACAUUCCGAUUAAAUGAUUGGACAAAAGCGUGUUGGGUCUCUUGAAUCCAGUAAUCUUCAAGUGACGAUGAAUCCAUUUGCCUUGUUUCAAAGACUUGGUAUCUCCACACUGUUGGAGCAGCGAAGCUAGGAGGUCAAAGGGUAAUCGAAUCCCUUGUUGAGUCAAGGACUCGAGACGAGAUACGGCCUGAGAGAGCUCUGCUUUGGUUGCGUGUCUGCUGAGCAACGAUCGGGCGACACAGAUUGGCCGUUUCCUAGGGUUACUGAUGGGCAUUGGAGGGAGAAACCACCAUGGGAGGCGACUUUAAGGAUUUGCGAUUGAUUUCUCCUGAUCCCGGCGGAAUCAACUCAGAAAGGGUUUGCGCCGGCGAGAUUCGCCGGUAAGAAAUCAUAUGCCGUCGGAUGGGUUUAGAAACCGGAUCUGGUUUAGGUUUUGGUUAUGGUUUGGAUCAUACUAACAAAGACAAAUCCUUUUUCACUUUUGGGCUUAGGCCUAUAAAGCCCAUGGCCUUCUUGUUCUAUCGUAAACGUAUUUACGAUUUUGCCAUAGGUUUUUUUAAAAUCUCCGAAUAAUAUGAAGAAAUGUUACAUGUAAUGCAUGGCUAAAAACGUCGCCGUAUUAUAUGAAAGUGAAACAAAGCCUUAAUUUUCUAGUGCACAACGGUAACGUUAUAGCCAACGAUGGCAUCACCGGUCUUGGGAUCGAACCAAUUAGUCUUGGCAAUAGCGUAGCCACGAGCCAUCCGGAACAUUCCCGUGCCGCCAACAAUAGGCAUUUCUCUGAUUGGGUUCAUCGCGGAGUUCUUCCCGAUCAUGCUUAUGGUGCUGUCCUUGUAAGGACCGUCCUCGAAACAGAAGCUCAUGGCCAUUAUCAAACCUACCUCUUCUUUACCUGUGUCCCAAUCAAAACCGGUUAUUAAUUAUUGAUAUAUGUACCAAACCGGUUUUAUAUUCCCGGUCCGGUUAUUGUAAGAAAUAAUAUACAACGUACGUACUUACAUGAAGAACCGUAAAGGCCUUGCGCUCGUCCCACGAGUUUGGAUUUUGGAUCAGCGGUCUCCGUUAGAGCGUCGUCGACCAUGAACACAGCGCCAAACAACGUCGGAGAUUUGUCGGUGUCUGUGCCCUGAGCCACUUUAACGGCAGUCGGAUUCUUGCCGCUCAAGGUGUCAUGGAAAUAGAACUGAAGGUUUGUUACCUUCUCCUUCCCUGUUUCCUCAAGCCGAUUAGCCCAACUGUACAGUCUCGAUCCCCGAGCAGCCAGUGGCAUUAUCAUUAUUAACAUAACCAACAUUCUUGAUACAUAUUCCUCUUUUGCCAUUUUCAUUUUUUCUGAUGGGGUCUAAAAUGUAACAAAGUGUUUGUAACUGUGAAAGUAAAAUGAGUUUCUGGUGCAAUGGUAUAUAAUUCUUCUUAUAGGGAAUUUACAUAUACGUGACUCACUCUUAGUCCAAGUUAGUUCAACCAAACUGAAAAAUGAUCUUUGAUUAGAAGAAAAAGUAUGAAAACAAAAUGAGACUAAUUAAAGUCAGCAUUGUGGUAGCGUAAUGGUUCACCUAAUAAUUUCAUUGUUUGAACUAGCUAAUUCAGAUAACUCUAUGUUUUUGCAUUGGUGGACCUAAUUAAUAACUCCGAAUUCGGCUUAUGUAAAUUAUGUAAUGGUGCUGAUGAGAUCUUCUGGUCAAAUGUAGAUUUAUUGUUUUAAAUUGUGUGGUUUUUAGUAGUUUACAUGUAUGAGAUUAAACAAAAUGUGUGAAUCCAUAAUAUUCCCGAUCCGUCAAACUGAAAUUUUCAGUAGUUUACUGUAUGAGAAGAUUUGGAUCUAAUGUUGAUGGCUAUAGUAGUUUCAAUAAGCUAUUAAAGGGAUUGCUUCUGAAAAAGGCUCGAUCUUGGUAGGCAAAUGCAUUCUUUGGUUAUAAAGGGAAGUUAUUAGUGUAAUGUGUACGGUUUACAAAAAAAAAAAAAAAAAAAAAAAAAAAUUAGUGUAAUGUGUACAUUGGAAGAGGAUAAGCGAUUUAAGCAACCGUUUUGGGCCACCAAUUUAUUCUAUGUUUUUGAGGGGCAAAAAAUAUAUUUUUAAAUCAUAAUGGGUAUACUAUAUCUUAAUUAAGAAUCACAAAAAAAAAUCUUCAACAAAAAUUGUUUGAUAAAACAUUUGACACAAUUUUAAAACUAAUAUUGUUUAAGAUUUUGAGUAGUAGAUAGAAAGAGGGCUACAAAACAAUUUGAUUCGGGCUAUUAUUUUUGUUGCACCGGCCUGAGUUAAUAUGUAUGCAAAAUGUAAAAGAGUUGAAGAUGCUUUUAAUAUAAAGAGAUUUCUUUUGCACAAAAAAAAAAAUAUAAAGAGAUUUCAUAGCCUAAUUUUGUUUCAUGGAAUGGUUUUCUUUCUUACAUUUUAAAAGGCAUGAAAUCCAAAACAACUAAAUAUAUAAAAAUCAUGAAAUUAAAUUAUAGGGAAGUGAUUACAUUAGGAAUUAGAAAGUCCUUUAUGUAUAAUGUUGUAUGUUAAUAAUGAUAGAGAGUGACAUUAUACUCAACGAUAGCAUCCCCACUGGUCAAGUUAACGUAAUAUGUAUUGAGUUGACCCACUCCUCUAGCCAUCCUAAACCUUCCUCGACCUCCCACAACCGCAACCUCCCUCUCUUUCUCCGUUAUCGUAUUCCUCGAAAACACGGCGAUAGAACUACCGUUGAACUUGCCGGCGGUGAACCCGAAGUCGACGUACAUGGUCAAUGUGGGAACAUGUUUUCCGGAGGAAACAUACAUCCCUCUAGCGUUCCCGAUCUUCUUGGAUUUCGGGUCCGGUCUGAUGGUGAGAGGGUCGUCGAGAGCGAAAAGAGAGCCGAACGGUGAGGGAGAAGAGUCCUUGUCUCCUCCUGUGAGAGUAGGCUUGGCGACGAGGACGGCUGAUGGGUUUGGGGCGGUGAGAGUGUCGUGAAAGAAGAAAUGGAGAUUUGUGACCACUUGUUGUUUCGGUGUGAAUGGACGAGUUUUGGAAUAGUAUUCGCCGAGUGCAAAGGUGAGGCAAAGAUAAAGACUAAACCCUACUAAUCCUAUUUUCUUCUCCAUUAAUCCUUUUUGUUUUUACAUGUAAUGUUUUUUGUCAGAGGUUUUAUAUGUAGUGUAAUAUAUAAUAGCACCAAAGAUUAAUUGCAAUUUGAUUGGAAGAUACUGACUCAAUAGGUCAGGCUCUCUGGACUGAUCUGGAAUCAAAUCCAUUUUUCAUUUGUUUCCCAUAUGCAUGCAGUUUAUAAACUUUUAAAUAAGAAAAGAAUCAAAUGAUUAUAAUUUGAAGGAAAAUAUUGUUCAAUUAAUUAUGUUUUGCGAUAAUGAAUAUUAGUUUGUUGACCAAAAGAAAAAAGAGAAUAAUACUAGGAGAGUUAUGAAUGAUCUAUUUUGAGUCACCAAAUCACAAGAAAUAUGAAUAUCAAACAAAUUUGGAAACAUACAAUGCAUUUUUUUGUUCUAUUUUUUUAUAUCUAUUUUGUAUGAGAAUUUAAAAAUAUCAAACUUAAUAGUAUCAAGAAAUAUGAAAUUUACAAAAUGCAUUGAGGUAAUAGAUUAUUGUUAACUCUUUCAAUUCUAAUCAAACUUUUAACUUAUUUUUUUCAUUCAAUUGAGAUACAAUUAAGGAAUAUUUCAUCCUAGAAGAAUGAAGAUACAUAUAUAAAUAUAUAACAGUAAAUUUGGACAAAAGUCCAGAUAAGAAGACCACCUGUAACUGUACUAAGAAGAGACACAGAUCAAAACUAAAGAAUGUCAAGUUUUUUAACUAGACAAGCUUUUUUGUCUGUACAGAGACCACAAACAAUACAAAAACGAACUCGACCGAUAUCAUCCCCCUCAGAUUUGUUGAUUGAUCCAGUUUUAAGAUCCCUGAGGCUUGUUCUUGGCAAAUAUUCAUUCAAUCUAUUAGGAGUCUAGAGAGAUGUUCUUCCUAGUAUUCAGGACUGUACAGACUUAUCAGAUGUUCUUCGUUCAUGCUCUUUCUCGAGUCGUACCAUCUUACUUGUUCUGAGUACCCAAAGAUCAGACCAGCAUUAUGCUUUAAUAACGGCAUCACAAGAAGAAACAGAUAUGAUCGAUGAUGGAGAAUGCAAGAGUUUUCUUUUACCUGAAGAAGCUUGUUGUUGUUCCUCUUCUCUUGUGCCAUGGAGUAUCAUUGUGCCUGUGAGCACAGUGAUGAAUCCACAUAACUCAGAGGCUACGCUGGCUGCGUCUUGCCCAGACCAGUCCUGUGAAAACAGAGUUCCGAUGUUAAGUGCUUCCUUUAACUAACCUUUUGGGAUCUAAACGUUAUCUAGUUGAACCUACCUUGAACAUUAUUGCACUAGCAACUAUUGUGAGGGUUGUGAACAUUACAUAGUAUACUGGAGAAACAAUGGCUGCGUUGAAUGUGUCCAAAGCCUGCAAAAAAAAUUCAUAACAGUAACAAUCUUAAGCCUUAAGUAGAGACGGGAAUAGUAUGCCACAUAGAAACACAAAAUGUAUCAACAAUGCCAAGUGACAUUCUAGAGUUCUUAAGUUUGCUGGGAAAAAAAAGACCUUCAAUGCUAUAGAUGCAGCGAUUCUGUCCCUAGGUCAAGUUGAGGAAUGAUCUACUGAUGGAUAUUUGUUUGCAGGCAUUAAACGAUAUAACUGUUCUACUUUCACUUGCUUUCCAAACAAUUUUGGUGUUGAGAGCUUACCUUGUUUAGGUAAAUCAAUUGUGUAACGACACAGGUUACCGCAACCAUGACAAAAAGCCAUGUCUGUGGAUACCCGAUCUGGCUUACUCCCUCCAUUGUUAAUUUUAUCGCAAUUCCAAUAGCCUUUAUGCUCAUAACCUGUUUAAAGAACCAAGAACAAGAUAUUAUAAGAGUUAUAAGUGCACUAGAAAAAGGAAUUAAGGCUCGAGUAUGCUCAGAUGAACCAACUUACAGUGAGAGCACCCAUUAACGAACAGAUUCCGAUAUAAACCAGAAUGUUUGUUUGGCCGCACAGGGGUUCAAAGUGCAGAAUUAAAGCAAGGACAAUCGACAUGGUUAUGGCUACGUAGAUUAGAAAAGCUGUUUCAUGGAUAAGAAAAGGAAAAUUGAGCUUGUCAGAUAAACAAGUGUACAUAAGGCAUAAAAUGUGUGCCGAGUAAGAAAGAGAGAGGUACCUGGCUGAGUAGCCAGAUUCCAUAUUUCUUCAACGGAAUUAGGAGUCUGCUCCUUAGGAGCGUGUAUGACAAUAACAACAGACCCAACGAUGCAAGACACACAUCCGAGAACCCCCAUUUUCUUAAGUUUUUCCUUCAAUAGAAAAUGUGCCAAAACAGCACUAGCAAACGAGUGAAAAACGAGAGGUUAGUGAGAGAAUAUCACACAAGUGACAAACACAUAACAGAGCAAUGUGAUGACAUAGAUACCUGAUAAUUAUACUUAGUGCACCGAGAGGAGUAACGAGUACAGCGGGAGCAUAAAUGUAAGCCACAAAGUUUGCAGCUUCUCCAACAAUCACUAAACAAGAACAUUAGAAGUUAGAGAAAAAUGUUGUUUAGAAUUGGGACUAUGGAAGAAAAGUAAUAAGAUAUGAAAGACACUCACUGGUAACCAUCCCUGCCCACCAAAGCGGCUCUAAUAAGUAAGUAUAACCUCCAUAUCCUGUAUCAUCCAGUGAGAGAAAACCAAUUCCAUUAUGAGAUUAUAUCAUUUUGAUAGGGAACAAGUUUCAGAUAAAACAAAGCUAUUAGUAACUGUUAUUGAAUCCAUUAAAGCUAGUUUGAGUGAAGAGACGUUACAUUUGUGAAUAAGAGAAACUGUAAAUGGAACAAGAAGAUUAUAAAAAGCUUGUUAACAAUUCAAAAAUCGAUUCAAUUACAAGAAGAAGAGAGAACCUGCACGGGUACCAAUAGCACCAGCUCGUUUGAGACCUUUCUUCUUAAGAAUGAAGCUGGAACCAAUGAAAACACUUGACGCUACAGCUAGUAUCAACCCCUUCCCAUUGUCCGACUCCAUUAUCCCUAAAAUCUAUCGAAUCGGAAGACAAUUGAAGUCAAUCUCGGUCACAACAAAAAGGUCUCUCCUUUUGAUAACCCUAUCUCUCGGGGAUGUCUCCGAUCAGAAUCAAUCUGCGAUUAUAAAUCCGGCGGAAAUUAAGAAAUUUGAAACAAGGGUUGUUGCUGGAUGGUGACGAAAGAGAAUCGGGCAAGUGGUCCGAUGCAACGCGGCCGACGACUUCUGCGAUUGCUGAAAAUUCAAAAAUCAAAAUGAGAGAAGAGAGAGAGAGAGAGAGAUCUGGUUCCACGAGCUCUCUCUCCUCGACUUUGUGCCUCUGGCAAGACGACAGCUCAGGAAAAUUCGUGGGUCUUGCCGAUGCUUAACCGGUUCCGGUACGCGUUUUGGUUCAAUAAUACUUACAAAAAAAAGAGAGAAGAGUUGUGCUCUCAUUCACUAUCGGCGUCGGCUCAAAUUUUUUAUUUUAGGAAUUUUUCAAUCACACACAUUCGUAGAAAGACUUGUAGUUGAUUUCAUUUGGUAACCAUUUCUCACCUAAUUAUUUCACUUUAGCUUAUUAAAAUUUAUUAUAAACUUGUCAAAACACAUAUAUUUAUCAUUCAAAAUCAACACAUGCUGCGUAUCUAUCUUAUUAGCUGCGGCAUUACGCGGAACUUUGCUAAUUAAUUUAUUUAUCAUCAUGUUACUAAAUUUUUUUAAGUCAAAUUUGAUAAACUAUGAUUUUGUUGUACAUAGUCGACCACCAUUUUUUUAUUAAACCAGUCCUGACCCUUAUAAGAUUCAAAAAGAAAACUUAUAAGUGUUAUAAAUAAUUAUUUUAUUUUAUGGUGUAUAUAAAUAUAAAUAAAGGAGAAAGAAUUUAUACUCGCAAAAGGAUCGGGAUACUGAAAAUAAAGAGAUGAGAGGGAGAGAGAUUAUUACUUCUCUUGUAAUUGAAGUAAUGAAUUGUGAUUUUACAUCGAACGAAUUCGUUCGUUUAUAUAGGCGUAAAAAAGUAAAUUACUAUGCAUGCAUAGUGACGGUGGGCUCCACAUAAAUUAAUAAACAACGAAACGUUUAACCCAUGUGCGCAUCUUUUUGCGACUUUACGAUUCCUCCUUUUCACGACUUUUAUAACACUCCCCCUUGGAGACCAGUGUCACUAUGUCUCUUGCGUAAUGUCUUCUGUUGCCUCGUUAAAAACCUUUCUAGGAAAAUCUGGUGGGAAAAACCAUAGUAGGUAAAAAGAGUGCAACCGCGCAAGCUCCCCCUCGAAUGAUCAGGAUCAUAACUUACAAGUCUUGUUGACGACGCAUUCCAAUGUUAUAAACAUGUUUCAUAGAGGUGGGCAAUGAUUUUGUGAAGAGAUCCGCAGAAUUCUCGGAUGAUCGGACAUAUCUUACUUCAAUGUCUUUAUUCUUCACGAGCUCUUGGGUGUAUGAAAAGAACUUUGGAGGGAUAUGUUUGGUUCUAUCGCAUUUGAUAUAUCCUUCCUUUGUCUGAGCAACACAUGCAGCAUUGUCUUCAUACAAGAUAGUUGGCUCCGUAUUCAGACGAAUUCCACUACUCGUUUGAAUGUGUCAACUUAUUGAUCGUAGCCACACGCAUUCUCUACUCGCUUCAUGGAGUGCGAUGAUUUCAGCAUGAUUUGAAGAAGUAGCUACAAGCGUCUGCUUCUGAGAACGCCAUGAUAUAGCAGUACCUCCAAUCGUGAAUACGUAUCCUGUUUGGGAUCGAGCUUUGUGUGGAUCUGAUAAAUAUCCUGCAUCUGCAAAACCAAUCAUUUGACCAUUUAUAUUUUUAGGAUAAAAUAACCCUAAAUCAAUAGUCCCUUGAAGAUAACGAAAGACAUGGUUAAUCCCAUUCCAAUGUCUUCGUGUAGGAGAUGAACUAAAUCUAGCCAGAAGAUUGACUGAAAAUGAUAUAUCAUGUCGGGUGCAAUUUGCAAGAUACAUAAGGGCUCCAAUUGCACUUAGAUACGGUACUUCAGGACCGAGUAUCUCUUCAUUCUCCUCAGGUGGUCUAAAUGGAUCACUCUCAACAUUAAGUGAUCUAACGACCAUUGGAGUACUGAGAGGAGUUGCCUUAUCCAUAUUAAAACGUUUUAACACUCUUUUGGUGUAUGUGGAUUGAUGUACAAAUAUACCCUUUUGAGUAUGUUCAAUUUGUAGGCCAAGACAAAAUUUUGUUUGUCCGAGAUCUUUCAUCUCAAAUUCCCCUUUUAAAUAGUUUGUUACUUUCUGUAUUUCAGCUUGAGUCCCGAUUAUGUUUAGAUCAUCAACAUAUACCGCGAUUAUCACAAAUCCGGAAUUUGUUUUCUUUAUGAAAACACAUGGGCAUAUAGGAUCGUUCACAUAUCCUUCUUUCGUUAAGUGCUCACUGAGACGAUUAUACCACAUUCGUCCAGAUUGCUUUAACCAAUAUAAUGAUCUCUGCAACUUUAUUGCACACAACUCUUUGGGUUUAGAUUUUAAUGCUUUUGGCAUAUUAAACCCAUCGGAAACUCUCAUAUAGAUAUCUGUAUCUAAUGAUCCAUAUAAAUAUGCUGUAACGACAUCCAUGAGACGCAUCUCUAGAUUUUCGCCAGCUGCUAGACUCAUCAGAAAUCUAAACGUUAUAGCAUCCAUAACAGGGGAAUAUGUUUCCUCAUAGUCAAUCCUGGGUCUUUGAGAAAAUCCUUGAGCUACGAGACGAGCCUUGUAUCUCGUAAUUUCAUUUUUCUCAUUUCGUUUUCUAACGAAAACCCAUUUGUAUCCAACCGGUCUCACAUCUUCAGGUGUGACUACAAUAGGUCCGAAUACAUUUCACUUAUUGAGCGAAUCAAGUUCGACUUGUAUUGCAUCUUUCCAUUUUAUCUAGUCAUGUCUCUUUUGACAUUCAUAUACAGACUUUGGUUCUGGAUCCUCGUUUUCCUCAUCAAUUUCCUUUGACAAAAGGUAUGAGAAAACGUCAUUAACAUCAUCCAUUUUAUUUCGAUCCCAGAUCUUUCCAUUAUGUAUAUAGUUGAUAGAAAUCUCAUGAUUUCCUUUAGGCUCAUGAUGCUCAUCAUUGUCAUUACACUCAUGAUUCGUUUCUUCCAAAAUGCUUUCUGCUAUUUUGGGAAUAUCAUGCUUUUCAACUUUCUUUCGUUUUCUAGGAUUUUUAUCCUUAGCACCAACUGGUCUACCACGUUUCAAGCGUGUUUUAGACUCACAUGUAUCAUCUGCUCCUCCACGUUCUUGUGGGAUUUCAAUUCGAGCAGGUACAUUUGCAGCCGGUAUAUAUGAUUUAGUUACCAUUUUGGUAUCUGCAAAAGCAUCGGGAAGUUGAUUUGCUAUACUUUGCAAAUGCACAAUUCGUCGAACUUCUAUUUCUGACUGUUUUGUAGGAGGAUCAAGGUGUAACAGGGAUGGUACACACCAUUUGAUUUCUUUUCCUACUUGCUUAUUUUCUCCCCUAGAACCGGAAAUACUUUCUCAUCAAAGUGACAAUCGGCAAAUCGUGCCGUAAAGACAUCACCAGUCUGCGGUUCUAGGUAUCUUAUAAUUGAUGGAGAAUCACAGCCAAUAUAUAUUCCCAACCUUCUUUGUGGUUCCAUCUUUGUACGUUGUGGUGGUGCUACAGGCACAUACACCGCACAACCAAAAAUUCUUAGAUGAGAUAUAUUUGGUUCUCGACCAAAUGCUAACGGUAGUGGGGAGUAUUUAUGGUAUGCACUUGGUCUUAUCUGAAUAAGUGCUUCUUGUUAGAGUAUAUAUCAAAAAUGUAAAAGGAAUGUAAUAAGGUAAACUUUGUACCCUUUGCUAUACAUUAUCAAGAGUAUAUAUAGGUUACAAGAGAUCGUAUCUAGGGUAAAUGUAAAAGGAAUGUUUACAUUUUUGAUAUAUACUCUAACACUUCUACAUGCAAAAUGGCAUGUCCCCAUACAGAGGUUGGAAGUUUUGAUCUCAUGAUCAAUGGUCUUGCAAUCAAUUGCAGACGUUUAAUUAAUGAUUCCGCCAAGCCAUUUUGUGUAUGAGCAUGAGCUACAGGAUGUUCAACUUCAAUUCCUGUUACCAUACAAUAAUCAUUGAAUGCUUGGGAUGUGAAUUCACCAGCGUUGUCUAGUCUAACCCUCUUAAUGGAGUAAUCAGAGAACUGAGCUCUUAAUUUGAUUAUCUGAGUUAUAAAUCUCGCAAAUGCCAAAUUUCGAGAUGACAAUAGACAAACAUGUGACCAUCUGCUAGAUGCGUCAAUCAUUACCAUAAAAUAGUGGAAUGGUCCACAUGGUAGAUGUAUCGGUCCACAAAUAUCGCCUUGAAUUCGUUCAAGGAACUUUGGUGAUUCUUUAUCAAUUUUGGUUGGCGAUGGCCUUAUGAUCAACUUUCCAAGAGAACACGCUGCACAUGUCAUUUUAUUUCCAUGUUUCAACUCAUGAUUUUUCAAUGAGUGACCAUGUGAGCUCUCUAUGAUGAUUUUUCAAAUCAUUGUGGUGCCUGGGUGACCAAGGCGAUCAUGCCAUAGUACGAAAUCUUCUGGAUUUCUUUUGAUCACAAGGUUUGACUCUAUGGCAUCGAUAUAGGUAUGAUGCAAACCAGAAGGAAGUUCUGGAAAUCUUUCCAAGACAUGUCUUUUUCCAGAUUUAUUAGAAGUUAUAUACAUAUACUUCUUUCUAUCCUCCGUUGCAGACUGAGUUUCAUAUCCUUCGGAGAAUAUAAGGCAUUAUUUAUGGAAAACUUUGUUCCAUUAGGCAAUUUAAAAUUUGCUUUGCCACUUCCUUCAAUCAAAUCCGUAGGACCCGAUAUUGUAUUGACAAUAAUUUUUGUCGGUUUUAAUUGAGAGAAAAAUCUCUGAUGUCUCAGAAUAGUGUGCGUUGUUCCACUAUCUGGUAUACAAAUUUCUUUGAUAUUUUCCCUUGCUAUCGUUUUGUUUGAAUCUUGAUCCAUUUCUGUAAUUAACAUAAAAAUAUAAGUAAAUAUUAUUGAUGUUGAAAACAUAUAAUAAUUAUACAUCAGUUCAUUUUUCAGAAACAACAUUAUUUUAGAACAACUGAAAUACAUAAUAAUUAUACAAUAGCAUUACUGGAGACUAGUAGUCUCACUACAAGCAUUUCAGUUAUCCGCAUGAGCGGUCUCGUCGACAUCGUUUAUAAAGUUUCGAGGUACGAUGUACCCUCAAAGUGCUCAGUAAGAUUUACUUCCUUCCCUUUUCCCUUUUGGGACUCUUUGUACAACUUACAAAGAUGUUCAGGGGUUCGACAUACAUGAGCCCAAUGCCCUUUUGAUCCACAUCUGUAACAGAUGCUUUCACGCUUUUGAGCGUUACAUCCUUGGGAUUCUUUUCCUUUUGAACUUUGAUCAGGUCGAACCCAUGUAUAAGACUUUCUGCUUUGUGGGUUAAAGGAUCUUCCACGUCCACGAUUGAAUCGACGGCCACGACCGCGAUAGGUUUGACUUCCUCUCUCCGGAUUUUUUUCAUCUGUUGCAUUGACCUCAUGAAAUGCUUUGGCCCCCGUAGGCCAAGAGUUGUGGUUCUUAAGAAGAAGUUCAUUAUUCUUCUCCGCCAGUAUGAGAGUCACAAUUAACUCAGAGAACCUUUUGUAUCCGCAAUUUCUAUACAUCUCUUGCAGGACACAGUGUUCUUUAUGAAAAGUAAGGUAAGUCUUCUCGAGCAUUUCAGCUUCAGUAAUAGGCUUACCACAAUACUUUAAUUGUGAUACUAUCCUCAGCAUAGCGGAAUUAUAUUCCUCUACUUUCUCAAAGUCCUGGAACCUCAAGUUUUUCCAGUUCUCUAACGCAUGAGAGAGAGUUAUUUCUCUCUGGUUGUCAAACCGUGCUUUUAAAGCUUGCCACAGCUCUGCUGGGUCUUUUGUGUGAGCAUAGUCAUGCGUCACAUUUUCAUCGAGAUGCUUUCUCAAGAAUAUUAUCGCUUUUGCCUUAUCUUUUAGAGGCGAUAAAUUUUCCGAUUUUAAGGUCUCGGAUAAUUCUUGCGACUCAAAAUAUAGUUCCACAUCAGUGGUCCAUGCUAUGUAGUUUGCGCCAGUAAUCUUGAGAGCCGGAAAUUUAUGCUUCUCAAUGUUUGCCAUUUGUUAUCUAAAAUAAAAUCACAAAGAACUUUAUUAGAAAUUUAAUUUAUUUCAUUUUAGAGCAUGGGAUGUGCUUAUAUAAGUAAUGCGAUUACAAGAAAUACAAUUACAUAAAAAAGUAAAAUAAUAACCAUCAAAAUUUCUUCGGGAGAAAAUUCUCCAAAGAGUAAACCGUAAAUUGCAAUAAUUAUAAAGCCUAUUACAAAGACUAAAAACGGAUGAGUCAUUUUCCAAAAUGAAAACUUAAACAAAUUUCUUAGAAAAAUAUAUGAGGAGAGAUAUAAUUUUUGAGUGAAUGAAUGAGUGAAAAUGAGUGUAUUUAUAGAUUGAAAAUUACUGUUCAUAGCCGUUUGAAAAGUGAUAAAAUUUUUAAAAAAUUUUCUUCAUGACCGUUGGUGAAAAGAAUUAAAGAGAAAAUCAAUGUGUAAAUUUUAAUAGCCAAUCAGUUAAAUUUACCAAAUUCAGAUAAUAGGUUUUUAUACAGGUGGCCGAUCCUCCUUAUAUAUUAACCAAAAUAUAAGUAUAACAGAAAUAAAUUUUAACGGCAAUAUUGUGGUGACAGAGUCAUCCACGUUAUAGGCGGCUUAGCCGUCCAUUGCUAUGGUGUAUAAAACAGUCAUUAUAACGAUUACUUAUAGGGGCGACAUUCCUCCCACUAUAGUAACGAGUAAAUAACGGUGUCCGAACAGCCACUAGAAAAUAAUAUACAUAUACAUAUACAUAUAUCUAUAUAAAUAUUUUUAUUCUUUUUUCUUUUCUUUUCUUUUCUUUUUCUUUUCUUUUCUUUUCUUUUUCUUUUACUCAUAUUUUUUUUUCUUUUUAACGAGGCGACAUACCACCCGAUAUAAUACCGUAUUUUUUUUUUCAGCGAACAUAGAGUGAUCUUGCUGAUAACGUGUUAUACAUAAUUACUUUAUUUUAUGGUGUAUAUAAAUAUAAAUAAUGGAGAAAGAAUUUAUAUCCGCAGAAGGAUCGAGAUACUGAAAAUAAAGAGAUGAGAGGGAGAGAGAUUAUUACUUCUCUUGUAAUUGAAGUAAUGAAUUGUGAUUUUACAUCGAACGAAUUCGUUCGUUUAUAUAGGCGUAAAAAAAGUAAAUUACUAUGCGUGUAUAGUGACGGUAGGCUCCACCUAAAUUAAUAAACAACGAAACGUUUAAUCCAUGUACGCAUCUUUUUUGCGACUUUACCAUUCCUCCUUUUCACGACUUUUAUAACAAUAAGACAUUUCUUAUUCGUCCACUACCUAUUUAAUUGUUUUGAAUUUUUGAUAGUACACAAAAAUUAGUCAAGAGUACAAAAUCACGAAUGAAGCCCAUAACAACUUUACACGUAUAUGUUAAUACGUUAGGCCCAUUAAGGACAAACAAGCUCAAAUUUUUGCUGGGCCUAUUACGAAAGGCCCAGUCGUAGUAUUGCACAAUGUAAUUAACAAUUUGAAUCUCAUUACUUUGUCUCAUUUACCUAUUGUUUUUUUCUAAUUUUGGAAAUUAUCCAUUUACGAUUUUGUUUUUAUUGGACAAAACGCCAAAAGUCUUUAAACGGCAAGAGUCACAAAAAAAUGCCACAAUUCCUUAAAAAACUUAUUAUUAAUGGUGCUUAAUUAGGAAAAUACCCAAAAGCAGAAACAGAGCAAACAUCACAGAGAGUCCAUAAUAGCUAAGAAGAAACUUCUACAAACCCUAGAUCCAUCACCGGAAUCUAAGAAGAGAUCUCACCACAAUCAGCAAUGACAACAGGCUUCGUCGGCUUCCCAGCCGAAGAUCCACUCUUCUCAAUAGCCUUAACAACGUCCAAGCCUUCAAUCACCUGACCAAACACCACAUGCUUACCAUCGAGCCAAUCAGUCUUCACCGUACAGAUGAAAAACUGAGAUCCAUUAGUGUUAGCACCAGCGUUAGCCAUCGACAAUAUCCCAGGUCCUGUGUGCUUCCUCUCGAAAUUCUCAUCCUCAAACUUGGAUCCGUAGAUCGAUUCACCACCAGUUCCGUUUCCAUUGGUGAAAUCUCCUCCUUGACACAUGAAAUUAGGGAUCACACGGUGAAACGCAGAUCCUUUGAAGUGAAGUGGCUUCCCGCUACGUCCAACGCCUUUCUCUCCGGUGCAUAGAGCUCUGAAAUUCUCCGCCGUCUUUGGUGUCUUGUCGGUGUAAAGCUCCAUCACGAUCUUCCCCGCCGGUGCACCGCCGAUGGUCAUGUCGAAGAAAACUUUGGGAUGCGUCGCCAUUGUUGUUCGAUUUUGGGAGGAGGAAUAAAAAAAAAGUGUGUGACCUAGAUUUUCUGGAGAAGCUGUUGAGGACGAAGAGGAGAUAUUUAUAGAGGAAGGGAAUAUCUGUGAGAUAAUAUCAUUGGGUAUUUUAGAUUGAGACACGUGUCGAGAUCUCCAUUGUUUCUUGAAUAAAUCUUAACCGUGGUUAGGUUGAGUUUUUGACCACGGUAAAUGCUCUCGAAUUGUCCAUCCCGAAAUCGACACGUGUUGUUACUCUUUAAUGUUGCAACCCGUAUUUACUUUUUCAUUUACUUCCAUUUCAAUGAAUUUUUUUUAUAAAAUGGAAAUAUUAUUAAAAAACGGAAAUUUGUGUAUUCUUGGUUUUACAUACAUGAUACAUUGAUUAAAAAAACGGAAAUUUGGUAUCGAAACAGAAAUCUUAUGUCGAAAACGACAAGUAAAAAAAUAAAAUUUUCGAUAAAACAGAAAUAUGGUAUCGAAACGGAAAUAUUAUGACGAAAACGACAAAUAAAAAGGGAAAUUUUCAAGAAAAAAUAUUAUGUUGAAACGACAAGUAAAAAGGGAAGCUUUCAAGAAAAACGGAAAUGUUUUGUUGAAAACGACAAAUAAAAAGGAACGGUUACAUUGUUCAUUUUUAAUUUUUAAUAUAUACUGAUAAAGAAAUAAUGUAAAUAAUAAAUAAAAAUCGAAAAUCGUCACUAAAAAUGAAUACCUUAUGUAUUUUAAGUUUGAAUAUAUGAUAACAAUAAAAAAAAGAUAAAUAACGCAUCAAAGCAAUAAAUUAAAAUAGAAAUUAUCAAUAAAAACGGAAAAUUAGUAUUGUAUAUAUAUAUAAUUUAGGUACUAGCACAAACCAACACUAUUGUUAUGAAAGUUGUUUUAGGAUAUUAAACCUAAUUGAAGCCAAUUACUCUCAAAUCAUUUUUCAAAAACAAUAUAUAUAUAUAUAUAUAUAUUAUUAGUAAAACCUAAAUCGGGAAUAAAGGGGUGGAUUAUAGAAAUUGAGAUUGGAUAAAUACUUGUUUUGACAAGAAUAAAAUCUAGUCCUAACUCCCAACGAAGUUGUCGGGCAAAAGCUCAAGUCGACGGCCACUUCCAGGCACCAGAAUCAACCAGCCUUCGAUCCAAUAGAAAAAGGAAGUCGACCUCUCUCGAGAUCUCCGCCUUCCUUCCACGCACGGCACCACUAUGGCACCUUCCUAACCGCAAGGCGACUUCCACUGCAAAAAAAAAAAAACAAAUCAGGCUGGAUGCAUGGCGGUUUGCUAAUCGUUAUACUACUAAUGUCCUUUUACCAAUUCUACACAAACAAUAUCUGGAUUGAAAUUGAGUAAUCAACCUUGAUUCUAGCACGAACUACAAUAUCCCGGCUACAGCUCCGCCUCACGAGGUCAUUUUUAAAGAAAUGAUUGGACUUCUUAUUUGUGAAAAAUAUAUAAAAGUUCAAAAUAUUUGGACAUAUUUAACAAAAAAAUAUUUUAAGAAAUUGACAUGUUGAACUAGUUUUUUUUUGUUAAUUUUUUUUUUUGAUGGACUUUUCUUAUUAAAUUAUUAUUGGACCUCUUGGGCUUGUAGUCUUUUUAUCCUACCCUUUGAAACGGGCCUACCCAUAAAAUAUUUCAAAGGAAUUGAUGGGUUUGAUUGUUGUUCUAAAAAUCGGUCGCAUAGGCGCUGAUCGGAGGAGCACCGCGGCGAUUUUGUCCAAAUCGGUGAGAAAAAUCGGAGAUCCGAUUUUUCGUCCGCCUAGACCGCCUAGGCGGCCGCCUAGCCCGCCUAGAUGGCGCCUAGCCCAUUUUUUUUUUUUUUUUUUUUUUUAAUCUAAAAUUCAAAACGUCCUACUUAUGUUCGUAAUUUGUAUAAAAAUCAUAAAUUUGAAAUUAAAAUCUUGUUUUCAUGUGUUUAAUACAAUUUUUAAAACAAUAUUAUAUAAAUUUCUUAAUUAUAAUGGAUUAAUAUGUUUUUAAAACAUUAAAUAGCCCUAAAACUAAUCCCCGAUUAAUCCCCGUGUAAUCCCCGAUUUUCUUGUUAGGCGCUAGGCGCACCCUCACCGCCCGACUAGCGCCUAGCGAUUUUUUAAACACGGGGUUUGAUUGGUAACAGCGUUACAAAGCUAUACAAAGCAUACAGCUUUGACAGUUACUAAUCACAAAAACUUUAUCAAAAUUGUUACAAACAGUUUUACUCUCAGCUUUUUUGUACAGCUUUCUUGUACAACUCUUUCAUACAGUUUUGCACUAUUCCGAUAAAAUCUUACAGCUCCAGCUAAAACCAAAAAAAUUUGUACAGCUUUUGUUUACCAAUCAGUCCCGAUAUGUUUGAAAAAGAGUAAAAAAAAAAAGGAGAGGAAUUGAUACUUUUCAUGCUAAUUUUUUAAAAAGAUCAUCAACAGAAAAUGAGAUUACAGAUCUAUUUAACGAAAAAAUACAAAUAUUAUUGGCUUGAAUUUACGAUACAUAAUGAUGAAACAUCUACAUAGAAUUCAACAAAGCAACAAAGGAAUAUUCUUCUGUGGCAUCACUCGAUCAUUUUUCUUAGAUUAAGAAAGACAGAUGAUUAUGUAUCUCCAUCAAGGAUGAGAAGGGAAAGGAGGCCAUUUUCCGAACUUAGGGUGUGGAAUGUAUUUUGGUGGGAAAUGUGGAAACUUGGGAAGUGGUGGACAUGGCUUCUUUGGAAUCACCACCACCGGCGGCUUGAUGAUCGGUUUGUAAAUAGGUACCGGCGGCUUGUAGAUAGGCAUCGGGGGCUUGUAGAUCGGCUUGUGAAGUGGUGGACAUGGCUUCUUUGGGAUCACCACUGGAGGCUUGUAGAUGGGCUUGUAGAUAGGCACAUGUGGCUUGUAGAUGGGCUUGUGUAUCUUUGGUGGACAUGGUUUCUUGGGGAUCACCACUGGUGGCUUGUAGAUAGGCACCGGCGGCUUGUAGAUAGGCACUGGAGGCUUGUAGAUGGGCUUAUGUGCAAUCUUUGGUGGACACGGCUUCUUGGGGAUCACCACCGGUGGUUUGUAAAUUGGGGGACAAGGUUUCUUGAUCUUAGGAAACGUUAAUGGCGGGAGAUUAAGUGGAGGAGGUAAAGGGAACUUAGGCAUAUGCCAAAAGAACUUUGAGAUGCAAACUUCCGGUGAGAAUUUAAGACUUUGUUUGAGACCCAAAACUUGGUUUUCGCCGGAUUUCGAUAGAAACACGAUCUUUGAGGCCUCGAGGCCGUCGUGGGCCGGACAAGGGUUGCCGGAGGCACUUUGAAGUUGAGCAUAGCAGGCUUCUUUCAGAGUUCCGUCGUCACCGACAAUAUCAUGAGGAAUAUUGAGAUGAAACUUUCCUGUUUCGUCAACUUCUCCGCUUCCUCUUGUAACAAAAUGGCCUUUUGAAUCGGCCGCCUUGCAUUCUAUCGUUACUCGGAGUCCUAUUUUCAAAUAAAAGUCGCAAUUAAACAAAAAGAAAUUAUAUUAAAGUUAUAAGAAGAAGAUUGUUUUUAUAGUCCAUGCAUAAUGCAAUCAAAUUAUAAAUGGACCUAGAAGGGACAUUUAUCGACCGGAACAUUAGUAUAACAACAUGCAUAUAUAUAUGGACUUGACCGAGGAUAAGAUUAUAAAGCAUAUAUUGCAAUAUGCCUUAUAAUACUAGACCUGAGAAUGCAUUGGGGAUCUUGAUUUUGCUGAUGUCUGAGUAGCCAACGACCUCGAUAUCCCCAACGACCUUGACGUCACGGCUAAGGGAAUGAGCCACCGAGCAGAGAGCAAACACAAAGAGGAGGCCAAAAGCACCUCCGCCGCUUUUUGGUAAUAUCCUCAUCAGAUUCUCUUGUUAUAUGUAACUAUUAGAGGAGAAAGAAGAUAUGAUUCUUCUACUGAGAUCGCCGAUUGUGUAUAUAUAGGUCGCGUAGGGAUAUUAUUUUAUUAAUUCAUGGCAUUUAUUAAUUUAGUGUGUUUGUUUAUAAAAGUUACUAUUCAAAUACUUGGUGGUACCAUAGCCACGAAAAUGAGAACCUAAAUAAACUGAAUUUAAUAUGGAUAAAUUUAAUACGAUAAUAUGAUCUCGUUUUUAGUUUGAAUUCGAGUUUCAAACAUUUUUUAUCUUAAAAACAAAUUGAACUUUUUAGAUCAGGAUUUUAUGUUUCCAAUUUGGUUCAGAUUUCAAUUUCAUCGGUGUUGUUUAAGUAACUAAAACAUGUUAAAUUUUAGAGUCAAAUUUUUUUUCAGUUGAACUUGGAAUACAUUGAUCCGGAAUAAACACACGUUAAUACAAAAAUUCAUAAAUAUAAACGUAUAUAUGCAGAUGAAUAAAUGAAAUCGUAUGUCUACGCACCACCGACCCCAAAUUAAUUCGCCUCACAUGAGAGCAUUUAGAGGAUAAACUUUAGUUUAUUUGCCCCCAAAAACCGAUAGGGUGUGUUCACGUUUAUCAUCGUCACCUAAAUAUGUGGAUCAGUGGAUAUCUUAUAAAGACAAUUUUAUAUCGUUUAUGAUAAACCAAAUUUUAAGUAAAUUUUAAGUUUGAGCACUAUAAAUGUUAUAGAAGGCAAUAAUCUUAACCCGAUGAUACUACGAAGUACAUGACUCACUAGCUACGUCCAUAAUUUGUUGAUUAUCCAAAAAAAGAAAAAGAAAAACAUAUACAUAUAUAUAUAUAUAUAUAUAUAUAUAUAUAUAUAUUAGUUUUGAGUUUUAGUCACGUACAUUUUUUUUGGGUUAAAUAAGCAACUCUUAAGUUUGAGUUUUAUACAAGUCACUAGCUACUGGCUAGGUCCAUAAUUUGUUGAUUAUCUAUAUUAGUUUUGAGUUUUAUAGUAGUCACGUACAUUCUGUGAAUCUGUGAUGGUUAACUCUACUGUGGGAUGUGGGUAUGUUUCGAAAAAGUCGGUGAUCAAAUUCGACAACAUUAAUAUAGGACACAAAAUUAUAAAGUUUACCUUAUCACAAGUUCUAUAUAUAGUAAUAGAAAAUAAGAAUAACGUAGUUGGUAAUACGUCCACAUCUCAAAUGCUUGAAUUAACAAAGUCAUGUUUUUUACCACUAUGGCUAAAAGUACGGCGUUGGCAUGCAUGCAAGGCGCAUGAUCUAAGUAACAAAGGUAACAACAUUUAUGCCACAAAAAAAACAUAUAUAGUUUUAAAAGCUUACAUAUGUUGUUCAAUUGGUUAGAGAGGAAAUUUGUGAUAAAUUAAUAAUAUAUGGUUAUUGGUUAGAAGAUAGAAUAUAGAACUAACUAAUUUAUGACAUUACAAUUGUUAUUGUCUUUUGAAGCUGGCAAGGCCCCUCCUCAGCCACAAUUCCUGUUAACAGAAAAAGGCCAGCUCAAACAUGUACACUCUGUUAUUCUUCUCUCAACUACUACUUUAUAUAUCGAAUAUACACAAAUAUGAAUUAUAUAUAUUUGACACUAUUUACGUUAUGUUGUAACCAUUCUAAAUCUAAAUGAUCAUCAGCUUCUAUAUUGUGUGAUCAAAUCCGAGAAUCGUAUCAUAUCGAUCCGGUUUGUUUCUAACUAGUAUAUAACUAAAAUAUAUGUAACCAAACCUUAUAUAUAUUUUGUAAAUGUUUCCCGACGAUCCUUAGCUUCAACAAAACGAGCGACUAUAGUUUAUGUAGAGUUACUUAGAAUUAAGGAACAGAUUCUUUCGACUGUUCAUAUGCACUGAUCGCAUUUAUAAAACUAAGUAAUAAGAUCUAUAUAUGAUUAAAUAAUUUAAACAAAAAAUAUGAAUAAACAAAAACAUUUAAUAAAUAGCAUGAUUUUGUAGAUGGUGUGUCUAAUCGUCCUAUAUGUUAUCAUGAGUUCCAUGUAUUGUUCAUUACUUUUUAGGGGACAACAAUCAUUCAUUAGAUAUCUCUAAUAAAUAGGUUAUUUUUACAAGUUUGCAUUAAUAAUGCUUAGUAGUGACAUUAAUAAGGAGAUUGUGACACCAUUAGUCAAACUUUUGUACAAUUUGGUGGUGAAAAGAUUGUUCAAUAGAAAUAAUCAAUUGAUUGGGUAAAAUCAACCUAAAAGUAGAUUGUGUUUGAGAUAAGCCCAAUAUCUGGGCCAAUAAUAUUAUUUAAAGGCCCAUAAGAAAACAUAAAAAGCCCAAAACGAAACACAGCGUAUAUUGCUUUGCUUGCAUAAAAGAGCUCUCUAUCUCUCUCAACAGUCAACAAUGGCGGUCGGAAGAAUCUUGUGAAAUUCCGAUUCCGAUUUUGAGCCAAAGGAAGCCGGAGAAAGAAAAUAUGUCGGGUAUGGGUGACGGCUACGUUGGUACGGCUCAAGAUGCGGUGAGGAUACGGCGGCUUCAGAAGCAAAGAGAGGCCGAGCGCAAAAAAAUCCAAGACCUCAAGAGCAAGUCUGCUUCCGGCAAAGACCAAUCUGGUCUUCUCCAAUUCGGCACCAGCUCUUGCGAGGUUCGACCCAAUCAUAUAUACAGAUACCUCUGAUGGUGGAUUGUUGUAGGAACUAGAUUUAGAACUUGUUCCGCAAUAUUUAGGGUUUAGUAUGAUUACAACGAUUAGUUCUUUACUACAAGUAUCAGAGAACAAGAUUAGAUCAUCAUUGCUUGAGUUUUGGUUUCUCAAGUGUUGACGAAUCACAAAUUUGGGCUGUGACUAAUUUAUUUGGUUGUUUUUUUUUUUAUUUGGUUAGAUUCUUGACACUGCUUUCAAGAAGGAAACAGUGGGUUUAGUUACAAGAGAGGAGUAUGUGGAGAAGGUAAUUGGAGUCAUGGCCACUUUAUCCUUCAAUUUCUUACAGUCAUCUAGAUUGUGGGUGUUUAAUUUUGUCUGUGAUAUAUGUAGAGGGUUAAUAUUCGUAAUAAGUUCGAGGAAGAAGAGAAGGAGAAACUGCAGAAGCUACAGCAAGAGUGCGUUUUGUCUUUAAGUUCAUUCUUUAUAGUUAUUGAUUGAUGUUAUUUUUUGGAUUAAGCUUUAUUGACUUUGUUUCUAAACUACAGGGAAGAGGAGUUGCAGCUAGAGAAGCGUAACAAGAAGAGAAAGAUUAAGGGAUCUUCCCGCCUAUCUUUUGCUGAAGAUUUUGAGAAUGGCAGUGAUGAAGAUGAUGGAGAAAACAGUAAGUGGAUUGAUUUAUCAGUCUCGUACAUCACACUUAGUUUAUCUCAGACCAUACUUGUUAGAUAUCUUAAGUUUUACCCUGAUUCCUAAAUAUGCUGUUGUUACAUCAAUGGUGAAUUGUGGUAUAGUUAGGAAUAGGUGUGAUGCAUGCUUUCAUUCAAUUAAACCACUAUAACUUGUUUCCUUUUUGAGUAGAUGUUGAAAAAUAUAAUCUCUAUCUUUUGCAGAAAUAAUGAAGACUUUUUUUUUUUGUGUGGAAGUUGAAAAAGUAUGAGCUCUCUAUCUUUUGCAGAAAUAAUGAAUCUCAUCAUGUAUUGGAGACAUUAAUUCGACCAUUGUAGAUUGGAGUCUUUCUUAGUUGUUGCAGCGUUUGAAAUGCACAUAGCUUACUGGCAUAGGAAUUUCAUAUCUCAUCUAAUGUUGUCCUCUUUGUAACUUCUACCAUGUACUCUAUAUAUGCAGAGAGUUCUGGGACAGUGAACUUACGCUGCGGAAAACUUGGCAAGGACCCCUCAGUGGAAACUAAUUUCCUGCCUGACAGGUGAUCCCUAGCUCUCUUGUUUACCUUUAUCUUCCCUGUAUGCUUUUGCAGUAAGUCUCAACUUUAGCUGUGGUGUUUUGAGGUUGCUGUUUCAGUGAGCGGGAGGCUGAAGAACAAGCUGAACGUGAAAGGCUUAAAAAGCAGUGGCUUCGUGAACAAGAGCAGAUUAAAAGUUGUCCAUUUUCCUGUUACUUCUAAAUUUUCAGUUGUAACACUUCAAUUAAGGAAGAUUGUCUAACGAUAUAUUUUUUUUUUUCAGACGAGCCUCUUGAGAUUACUUACAGUUACUGGGAUGGGACUGGCCAUAGACGAGUUAUCCAGGCAAGCACAAACUACAUCUUUGUCAUACUGCUCGAGCCUUACGUCUGAUCAUUCACUUACCUUGAUGAUAUACCCAUUUUACAGGUCCGCAAGGGUGACCCAAUUGGGAAUUUUCUACGGGCUGUUCAGCAGCAGCUUGCCCCUGACUUCCGGGAGAUUCGGACGGCAUCAGUUGAGAAUUUGUUAUAUGUGAAGGAAGAUCUUAUUAUCCCACAUGUGAGAACCCUCUAAACUUACCAAGAUAUCCUCCCUUCACAAUAUGGAACUUAACGAUAACAUGGGAUAUUUUUUUUUUGCAAAUGUAGCAACACAGUUUCUAUGAGCUGAUCAUUAACAAAGCUAGGGGGAAGAGUGGGCCGGUAUGCCUUGUCGACAUUUUUUGGAAUUCAGUUAAUAUAGAAAUCGUAACUGAGACUCAUUCCUCCUACACUGUUCUUGUUAACAGCUGUUUCACUUUGAUGUGCAUGAAGACGUGAGAACAAUAGCAGAUGCAACGAUAGAGAAAGACGAGGUAUGUUUCCCUGACCCAGUUACAUGAGAAAAGAGAGUAGGUCUUGACGAUGAGAAGUUGUUUCUAAAGCUUCUUUGUAAAAUGUGGUGUUAUUGAAGUCGCAUGCGGGUAAAGUAGUGGAGAGGCAUUGGUACGAGAAGAACAAGCAUAUAUUCCCUGCUUCCAGAUGGGAGGUAACUCCCAAAUCGCCUUUUUCUCUGCACUUUUCAUUCUCAGCUAGACUUUGAAUCUAAUCUUUUUGCAUUAUAUCUGUACAGAUAUACGACCCGACAAAGAAAUGGGAACGGUACACUGUCCAUGGAGAUUGAUAUUGGAGCAGAAGAUGCUUUUGAUGGAUCGCUUUGUUGACAUGAUUGAUCAGAUUUGGUGUAAUAGUAGUGGAAUGUUCAUGGCAUUCAUUUUUUAAUAUUUAUUCUUCUUCCCUUAAUCAUGUACCAUUUAGUAGUACACUCGUUUUUUUUUCUUUUCUUUUUCUUAAAAUCAUAGAAAUUUUGUGAUUUUUCAUGUCAUAUGAAAAUUUGGUGUGAGAUCUUCUGAUUAUAUAAUGAGAACAUACAAAUUAAGAAUGUUGUAGAAACUAAUUUGUGAAUCCUGAUAAGGUAACAAAAUCACAUGAAAUAAAUUGAGAGACCAGACAAAACGCUGUCGUUUUCGAGUUUCUAUGGUUGUGUUGCAUUCGUGUUUUUUUUUUGCAGAAAUAAAUUUUAUUUAGAGAAAGAGCAAAAGCAUAAAUAGCAUCGAGAGAGAGAGACACUGUUCUCUCAUUCAUUCGCAAAUUCGUUGACCAUUAGUAUUUGAUAGAAGCAAGCGAUGAUGAAUCUUAGGGUUUUGUUCCUCGCUCUCCUUCUCCUUGCAUCUCCUCUGCUUCAAGGUCGCUCUCUCUUCUCUUAUUGUUUUCCAUGGAUUUUGUAGAUCUAGAUCCGUUUUGUUUCGAAUUGAAUUUCACAUUUGAUCUCUGUUUCCGAUCUGGUUUCUCAAAGGAUCUGGUCCUGUUUCCGGAGAACGUUACGCUCUUUAUUCAUCGAUCCGAGUGAAAUUGAGCUCGUUAUACAAUACUGUGUUUUGUGUAUUAUCGUAGAGCAAUGUGGUUUCAAAGAGACAAACUUUCAAAUGUAGAUCGAAUUCCCAAGUAAUAGAUUCUUCAAUCAAUAGUGUCUUCGUGCAUGUCUUUAUUUUGCCUACUUUCUGGAAUCUGCACUCGCUGAUAGAGGAUAAUUUGCACAUUGUAACCUUUUCAGAAGAAGACGUUAUGGUUUUAACCUGAUGGGUUUUUUUUUUUUUGUUUUGGUUUCUUUGAUCAGUUGCUAGAUGUCAAUCGGAUGCCGAGGAUCACUCCAGUCUUGUUGAUGAUGUUGUUGGAGAAAACAGUGAUGAUGCGGUUGAGGAAGAUGACCACGAUUUGGAUAUGAACUUGUCCUCAUUUCCAGGAGUUGAGACUGUUUGUGUUUUCCCCAAAAACAGUGCCAAAUGUAUGUCUUUGCUCCUUCGUCGUGUAUUUAUCUAUCCCUUGUUUGUUGUGAGCUUAAAGAUUUUGUUCUUAAUGCUCUUUGUUUCCUGCAGUGGUUCCAGCUGGAGAAGAGACUGAGCUCCUUGUUGGUCUUAAAAAUGAGGGUAGCUAAACACCUCUUUUAGUUUUAGCUCUCUUUGGGUUGAGUUUUCUGUUUUGUUGAUAAAUCUAAAUAUCUCCAAAUUGGCUAUGGCAUAACAGGGAAAACUAGCGUAGGUGUGAUGGGAAUUAGGGCCAGCGUUCAUCUUCCUUAUGAUCAUAAGUUGUUGGUUCAGAAUCUAACCAUGUUGGUAAGCAUUUGACAAGGAUACCAUUUUUCUAAAUAUUUGUUAUGAUUUUCUCAUGCUGUCUUUCUAUAUUGCAGAGAUUCAACAAUGCAUCCAUCCCAACGUCUCUUCAAGCAACAUUCCCGUACAUCUUUGCAGUCAGCCAGUACCUGCAGGUACGCAUAUCCCACAAUAGACAAGAUAUCAUUCUGUUUCAUUCUGAAAAUACAAUUGUAGUUGAGAAAACUCCCGAAAGAUCUGAUCUUGCUUGGUGUUGCACAGCCUGGAGCAUUUGAUCUGGUGGGUUAUAUCAUCUAUGACGUGGAAGGAAAGCCAUACCAGAGUGUCUUCUACAAUGGAACCAUAGAGGUAGUUGAAUCUGGAGGUCUUCUCAGCGGCGAAUCUGUUUUCCUUAUAACACUAGGAAUCGGUCUCCUCCUCCUCCUCGGUCUAUGGGCAUACAGCCAAGUUCAGCGUCUCACCAAGGUAAACCAUUGGAUCUCUUUUUCCGGUUCAUCAUUUGUGCAGUUAAACAUUCAUUUGAUAAGCUCCUCUUUUACCAGAAAACCAAAAAGGUUUCCAAGGUGGAAGUAGGAACCAGGUCUACCGAUGCAUCACUCGAUGAAUGGCUCGAGGUUCGCUUCUCUCUUUUUACUCUUCUUCCUCUUCAUUGUGAUUGAAUAAUUUGAUUGACCCGUGUGUUAUUAUAUCUUCAGGGGACUACUUUAGCCAAGACAUUGUCUGGGAAAUCGAAGAACAAGAAGAACUAAAAGAGAUGUUUUGCUCCUUCCAGUUGUUAUAGACUCAGCUUCGGCGUUUUGAAAGAGUUUCCAAGUUUAAGUUCAGUCUUGAGGAAAUUUAGGGUUUUAAACGUCACUUUUUUUUUUGGUUCCAGCAUUGUACUCUUUAGACAAUCUUUACUUCUUGUCAUAAAUAUUCUCCUCAUGAAACCACUUAACUUAUAAAUGGUUUAGAUCUUCCGUUUUGUGUUGUUAAUCUUCUCUAUGAAAGAUGAAGGCAUGUCCAUGGAUGACACAUCAGUACCUUCUUAAGCAGUACAUUCAUCUAAACACUCCAAAUAGUUGAGUUGAAGCGCAUGUUCAAGGAGCCAAGUACAAGAGAACCACUCUUUGGGAUAUGUUCUUGAGGGAAGGAGCAAUCCGGUUGGAGGAGAGACUGUGUUGCGAUUUACACUGAGUUCUGAUUCACAAUAAAGUUGUGACUUAUCUGAGCGAUGAAUGCAUUAUGGCUCAAGGUUUGGAGUGGAAUGUUUGAGAAGAUGAAUUUUUCAUGGUUAAAUCUUGAUUUAGUACUAUAUAGAAGAAACUCUUGAGUUAAGCUUACUCAAAGUGAAAAGAGAAUCACAGCUUAGUUACAAAGAUCUUUAAUCAAAGACCCUUUUAUCUCUCCCUGUCAAACCAGAGCUCAUGAAUCAUUUUUUUCUGUUUUCCAUUAUUAGUUCACGAAGAAGAAGUAAGAACACAACAACAACAACAAGGUCGCUAACCUCCCUUUUAUUUCUGAUCUCAUCUGUUCCAUGGAGACUAGCGAUUUCCGUUACUGAUAGUUCUCAAUCAAGCAGCAACUUUCUUCGACGUGACUGAGUUCACAAUGGUUGCAAACUCAGGACCCUAGAGUCACAGCAAAGGUGGGUGUGAGCUUUACUUCUAUUCAUCAACAACAUAUCCAUAAAGGUCUAAACUUUACUUUACCUUCAAGGAGGCACCGCCAACAAGAAAUCCAUCAAUGUCUUCUUCUUUGGCAAGCUCUGCACUGUUGCCUCCAUUGACAGACCCUGGCAAUUGAGUAGGAAAUAAUCAGCAUAGAGUUUCAUUUUGCGGUGGAUAACUAAUCUAACGCACCUCCAUAUAUGAUCCUCGUUUUGGAAGCGACUUCCUCAGAGACAUUCUUUUUUAGCCAACCGCGGACAGCUACAUGGACUUCUUGUGCUUGCUGAGGAGAUGCAACUUUACCAGUUCCAAUUGCCCAUACAGGCUCGUAUGCAACAACUAUAUUGUCCCAGCUAGGUACAGCAUCUGAAAAUACAAAUAACUUACUGCUAAUAAUUGAAUUCAGACAUGAUUUGGAACAGAAGAGGGUAAUAAAAGAAAAUACAAGAGUGUUGUUACCACCAAACGCCUUCAGUUGUGCGAAGCAAACAUCAAAUGUCCUUCCUGCUUCCCUCUCUUCUAGCUUUUCCCCAAUACAAGCUAUCACUCCGAGACCCUCACUCAAUGCAUAAGCUGCUUUCUUCCCGAUAAACUAUGGUUGUGUUGAGAACAGAGCAAACAUGUCUUCACAAUCCUUUCUUAAUGACUCACUAGUUCUUAUAAAGUACUCUAUUUUACUGACCUCAUCUUUUUCUCCGAUGACAUGUCUCCGUUCGGAAUGCCCAAGAAUGACCCACUUGCAGCCAAGAUCUUUAAGCUGUUCCACGCUGUAUGGUGAAACGGGUGACAUUGUAAUUCAGACAAUGUUUAUAUAUAUAUACCGUAAAGUCCUAAGGUGGGAUUAGUUGCAAAGCUUUAACAUUUUAGCCGAAUUUUUCAAUCAUAUACAGUAAAAGAGAUAUAGUAUAAGUGAAUAAGAGGAAUCGUAACCUAAUUUCACCAGUGAAGGCUCCACCUUUUCCAACCCAAGAGUUCUGACCUGAUAUGUCAAUACGGUCUGUCAACGAGGAUUUGACCUGGUCGAUGUAGACAAAUGGAGGUGACACAACAACAUCUACACAAAAACGAUCAUUUAGAACAAAUGGUCAACAUGAGGUCCUUAAAACUUCAAUUAGGCAAACUAAAAUGGAUGGAAUUGAGCAGAAAAUACUUGCCAAGGUCCAUUUUCAAUGUCCGAAAUAUAGAGCUUGGAUCAUUGGAAAAGUAGCAGAAACUCACCUACAUCUGCUUCCAAGGUUGCACUGUUGAGAUCAGAGACAAGCUUGGCGAUGGAGUCCUUAGUCCCGUUCUAAAACACACGCCACAAUAGACAUUAGUUUCAGGAAAGACAAGAUACAGAAGAAAAGGAAAGACUUUGCGCAUUGUACUUACACACUUCCAGUUUCCUCCAACGAAAAACUGCAGCACAAGAGACAGAGUAAGCAAGUGUUUAGACAAGUUAAAAUAUGGAAGACACUCCAAAUCUUGAAUCUAGCAUUCAAUAAAAUUGUGGAGUAACAAACAAAACCAAAGGUAAGCAUGGAAUCCAAUGAAGAGAAUUGAGAUUCUUUUUCUUCUAAAAGGAACAGCUUUCUUCUUCAAUCAUAUAAUAAACUCUGAAUCUAGCUUUCAAUACAUUUUUGGUGUAUCAAACCAAAGUUGCAUUGAAUCAAAUGAAGAGAAUCAAUUUAGAGAAUCUGGAUACCAAUCAUGCAACCAAAAGGAAUAACCUUUAUCACUCAAAUACUCAAUCCUAAACAAUGAGAAUCUAGCAUUUCAAUAGGGUUAAAGUUGGAACCUUUCCGGAUCCAGCCAUGGCAACAACGCCUCUGGGAGAGCGAUGAGAAGAAGAAGAGGAAGAAACGAGACGGGUAGAGGAACUGACGCGGUGGAAGAAGGAUUGGUGGGAGGAGACGGCGGCGUCGAGCUUGGGAGAAAUGCGGCGGAGACCGGAGAAAGAAGGAGGGGCAGUGAGAGAGGUAGCUGCCAUGUCGUCGGGUUUGGCGUGUAGUGAGUGGAAAAAAAGGCAAAGAGGAGAGAUAGAGACGAGACUGUGACUCUCUCAGCUUAAGGUAGCAGAGGAGAUAGAGGCGAUGAGGAGGGUUGGUGGUUGUGCUCUCUCUCUUACUCACAAGGGUACUUUUGUCUUUCCUUCACUCACAGAUUGUUUCAAGCCUGGUUCUCACGCGCCUAUGUCACGUCUCGUUAUCACGCGCUUCAGAGUCCAACCCUAAGAUCAGGUGCCUCAAAAUGACAAGGUGUGGUGGAUUCGUUCAUCGUUGUGGUUCGGUGGCUAAAGUUCUCUACGGUUUAGAGUAGUCUUUUUUGUGGAUCCGCUUUGAUAGAAGAUAUCGAUGUAACACCGAUUUCACCGCCUAUCAAAAUUUCAUUGGAUCUUUUACUGCUUUCGUAACUAGUGAACCUGUUUUGUUAUAGUAAACUUCACGAUUCACUUCAAAACAACUCCGAUUAACAAUCUGUAACCCAAAGAAUCAUUCCGAUGUUCAUAAAACACCUAAACGUUCAAACGCUAGCUCUCAAGAUGAGAGAAACCUAGCAACAACAAGAGAUUCAAAGAAAAAGAUAACAAACGUUUACAAUUUUUAUGGUUAAUUUCUGCAAAUGAUCGAUAAUUCUCCAUAUAGCUCCAACUCUCUAUCUCCACGUCAGCUGACAACACAUCAUUCACGUCUAGACCAAUCAUCUUCCUUCAUUCUUCCACGUCAGCCACUCUUCCAUUUUACCUAUAACAAAUCUCCCCUCCGUAGAGAACCUUGACCUCAAGGUUCAUGGAACUUCUUUUUCAGUUUAUAGAGUAGCUCCCAUGUAACCUCUUCCACAUGAAUCAUAGCUUUUGUUUUACCAAAUCCCAAGCCUUGUUUUUGAAGUCUCCAACAGAGAGCUUUGGAUAAAAGUAGCAACGAGCAGACUUGAGUCGCCAAGCUUGUGACAACUUUAUCAUCCGAUGUUGUCUAAGUCCUAGUUGUUCUUCCUGAUGAUUCGUGAGUAGAUCUUUAACCAUUGCAACUGUCUUGUAUUUAAACCACCAAUCUUUGCCUAACUUCCUCUUUCCCAAAUUUGAAACACAACUAUAGAUACCAAACAAGCGCAUAUAUGCAUGCAUCUUUAUCGUCAAGCUUAGAAAUGUUCUUCUAAUCAUCUUCAACACGAUCUGAUCAUGUGAGUGAUUCAACACUUCUCUUUGCAGGAGAUCAAUGAGACCAAUCAAGCAUAGCUUGAACUUUGUUCUCCAACAAUGCCACACAUAAAAGUUGAUUUUUAUGUCCACAUGUGCAGAGUAUAAGAGGAGAACAGACCCUUUAGAAGUUCUCAAGUCACUAGAUUUGGAACAUUCCAAUUUUUGAAGUGGCAUGGUUUUGUACUUAAGCCAAUCUCUGCGGUUCCAACUGUUAAACCACUCUUCAGAUUCUAACUUGCACAUAUAACUCAACUCAAUGUGUAAUCUCCUCAUACCCUCUUUCACAGAUUUGUACUUGAACCACCAUCGCUUGGAAGACUUGAUCUUUUUGUUUCUCAUCACUUGUUGAAUAAUCAAACUGGUUUGCAACAACCUUUCGUUCACCAUUAGAAGACUUGAUUUUUUUGUUUCUCAUCACUUGUUGAAUAACCAAACUGGUUUGCAACAACCGCUCGUUCACCAUUACAAUCAGCUUAUACACAGCUUGUUGUCCAUG